CUGCUGCAGGCUUCGGUCAGCCCGCUCUUGGCGAGCUGAACCUUCUGAAUCACCGCACUCAUGACGGUGCGGUGUUCCUCUUCGAUGGAAGCGCCGUUGAGCACCUCCAGCAAGCUAUCCGGCACCUCCGGUUGUACGGAGGCCGCCGGCAUCACGGUCUUGCCCUUCUUAUGAAGGGGCCGCCCGCCGGACUCCGGAACAACUACAGGUUCUGGUGCGGAGUCCGGUUCCAAGUCUGGGAGGUUGCCCUGUGGCACCUCCGGGACCUCCUCCUCCUGGCGGGUCCCUUCCCGGGAUCCCACCUCGGCAUCGUCCGCAUCACAGGGGGUGGAGGCGGUCGGAAGGGAAUCCAUAUCCGACGCACCCAAGGACCCGCUCGACGAAGCGGGAAGAUCAUCCCUGGGUGGACUGCAGGGUUGUAUGCGGCAUUAGAAAGACACCAUGUGGCGAAAAGAAAAAUCAUGAAGUUAUUCGGGAGUCCGGAAACUUACGAUCUCGCCAGGGGCUUGGCCCUUGAAGGCCAGUCCUCGUCGUCAUCGCCGGUGUUGGCAGAGCAGUCCGGGGGAAGAGUCCUUCCCUUCUUGGACCUUUCAGCCUCCCUCGUUGGAGAGGCCUUCCUUUUCUUCCCUCCCCCCGCUGGGGGAGAGGCCUCUUUCUUCUCCUCCUCGCCUUCGUGGGAGGAGUCCGCCUCGGAGUCAUCGGACGAUGAGUCCGAUGACACCUGAAAACGGGAACUCUUUCGAGUGCCCGUGGCCUUCUUCUUGGCCUUCUUCUCCGGCACCACGUGGGGUGCCGGAACUAGCAGCCCCAUUAAGUGGGCGUCCGCUGGGUCUUCUGGCAAAGGGGCCGGGCAGUUAGUCCGCUCGACUUCUUCAGCCAGUCCUAUCAAAGGAGAGGGAGUUUAGAUCCCGCAUAGAGUCAAACUAUGGAAAACAAGUGUCCCGUAAAGGGUAAAAUCGCUUACCUCGCUAGCCGGACGCUGCGAGCUGAAUCCGCGAUAUUCGAUAGCGGAUGCGGGAGCCUCGGCGCCAUUAAACAGCACCCUCCAGGCCUCUUCGUGCAUAGUGUCGAAGAGCCUGCUCAAAGUCUGGUGCUGCGCCGAAUCAAACUCCCACAUAUUGAAGUCCUGUUGUUGGCACGGGAGAAUCCGGCGGAUGAGCAUGACCUGGACUACGUUGACAAGCUUGAGCUUCUUGUUCACUAGCUUUUGGACGCAGGCUUGGAGUCUGGUCAGCUCCUCCGAAUCACCCCAUGUCAGGCCACUCUCUUUCCAGGAGGUGAGCCAUAUGGGGAUGCCAGAUCUGAAUUCGGGGGCCGCUGCCCAUUUAGGGUCACGCGGCUUGGUGAUGUAGAACCACCCCGAUUGCCACCCCUUAAUGGUUUCCAUGAAGGUGCCCUCGAGCCAAGUAACAUUGGGCAUCUUGCCCACCAUGGCGCCUCCGCACUCCGCUUGGCUGCCCUUCACAACCUUCGGCUUGACACUGAAGGUCUUGAGCCACAAGCCGAAGUGGGGCUGGAUGCAGAGGAAGGCCUCACACACGACGAUAAACGCCGAGAUGUUGAGGAUGAAAUUCGGGGCCAGAUCAUGGAAAUCCAGGCCGUAGUAGAACAUGAGCCCCCGGACAAAGGGAUGGAGUGGGAAGCCCAGUCCGCAGAGGAAAUGGGAAAGGAAUACUACCCUCUCAUGGGGCCCGGGGUGGGGAUGAGCUGCCCCUCGUCAGGGAGCCGGUGCGCGAUGUCGCUGGACAGAUAUCCGGCGCUGCGCGGCUUCUUAAUGUGCCCCUCCGUAACGGAGGAGGCCAUCCACUUGCCUCCCGCUCCGGACAUAGUUGGAGAAGGUUGAGGUGAGAUGUGCGGACUUGGGCGCUGGAGCUCGAGUUCGCGGAGAUGGAUAAGCAAAGGAGGAAGAAGGCGUAGGUAAAAGGGUGGCUCUUUAUCCCCUUAUAUGGGCGGACAAAACCAUGCGUCCCCACCGGCCUGAUAAAACUCGCUUAUCUCCCAAGCGCCACAAUCAAUGGCGCGGUUGGGUUACCCACGUCCGUAUUGAUGGGAAUCCCGGAAUAAGGGGAACACGAUCUCUGCUUCGACAAGACGUGCCAAGGAAACCGCUUCGCUAAACGCGCUGAGGUGGUACAAUAAAAACAAUUCGAGUAAAGGCUUGGUUGUGGUGUGACGUCACACUACAAAAUACGUCAGCAGAUUGAACUUGUGUAAAUAUUAUUCUCUCUACGGUGGUAUGUGGAAUUUAUUUUGCAGAGUCGGACACUAUCCUGGUGUUCACAAUCUUCUAUAAAUUAUUCAGAGGAGGAACUCGCCUUGCAAUGCCGAAGACAAUAUGUGCGCCGGACUCGUCGUCAUUGAAGCCUGGUUCAGGGGCUACUGAGGGAGUCCUGGACUAGGGGGUGUCCGGAUAGCCGAACUAUCAUCAUCGACCGAACUCCAAUACUAUGAAGAUACAAGAUUGAAGACUUCGUCCCGUGUCCGGAUGGGACUUUCCUUGGAGUGGAAGGCAAGCUUGGCGACACAGAUAUGUAGAUCUCCUACCAUUGUAACCAACUCUGUGUAACCCUAGCCCUCUCUGGUGUCUAUAUAAACCGGAUAGUUUUAGUCCAUAGGAAAAACAACAAUCAUACCAUAGGGUAGCUUCUAGGGUUUAGCCUCCUUGAUCUCGUGGUAGAUCUACUCUUGUAAUACCCACAUCAUAAUAUCAAUCAAGCAGGACAUAGGGUUUUACCUCCAUCAAGAGGGCCCGAACCUGGGUAAAACAUCGUGUCCCUGGUCUCCUGUUACCAUCCGCCUAGACGCACAGUUCGGGACCCCCUACCCGAGAUCUGUCGUUUUUGACACCGACAGAUACCCUCUUUGCGCCUUACCCACCGCACCUGUAUUGCAUUUUACAGGGAAGGCCAUCGGAACGCCGCGCCAAACCCGCGGCGACUCAUCAACAAGGAGCACCGAAGUCGGGUCGGCUUAAAAGGAAGGCAGUCAGGACCGAGACGUCGUCGCAGAGGUAUGAUUAAAAACCUGCUAUGCAAUUAUUGUCCUUAAAAUAUAACAAUGUCCAUGGUUCCCCAGCAAAAUAAGCGCUCGCCGGACUGUAUCUGGAGAGCAUGCGGGUCACGCCUCCACCAGCCGGACUCCGAGGCCGGACUCAAGGGCGGAGAUUAAUGCGGGGACAACGCCGAAUGGUCCUCCUAUAGAGGAUGCAGAUAGAUUAUCCGCUACAAACUCUGAAGGAGAGCGCCAUGAAUCACAGGCGCCGAUGGGCCACACUACGCGACCCUAAUUUCUCUGAAGAGGCGUUCAAUGCCUUCAACUCAGGGGACGCGUACGUUCGAGCUGCUCAAGAUGGCCUCACCAGAGCUAUGGGCCAGUAUGUAAAGGAUAUACAGGUAAGAAAAUUUGAUAUGUAUAUAAGUAGCCCAUGAGACUUGAAACAAUUGGCACAACUGAUUUAAGGAUCAAUUAUAUGCGUAGGUUCUUACAGAGAAGAAUACCCAGCUGUCUAAAGAGCUGGAGGAGUGCAAAGCCCAGCUACGGGCCGCAGUCGCCGGAAUGGAGGAGUCCAAGAAGGCCUCAUCUGGUAAUACUUGUCUUGAUCAAAAAGAAUGUAUUGACAUAUACCAGUUAGUAUUCGGCAUGCACGUAAAUCUAACAAUAGAUUCUGCAGACAAUCCCAGAGGUAAUCCGGAGAUCGUAUCGGAGGAUGAACCGCAUGCUCAACGACAGCUAAAGGCUGGCGAGCACGUGCUUACAAAAGUUAUACGGGAGAAGAAUGAUCUCCAGGACGUGAAGACCCGGCUGGACGUUGAAUUAAAGGAUGUUCAGGCCCGGCUUGCGGACUCCAUGAAGGAGAAUAGGAGGCUUCAACGCAACAUUUUUAGUAAGUGCUCGAACGAACCUUUAGAAAGUUUGGCGAAGAAGCGGGCUAACAAAAUUAUGUCUAUAGGUAUGCUGACAGGUCGUCCCAAAGAGGAGAUGCCCGGAUCUGUAGGCGAUCUUCUGCAAGAGCUCUCACAGCUGCACGGACAAAUUCGGCAGGUGAUGCGGGGUAUUGCCCAGGCCUUGUGGCCGUCCGCAUCCCUGCUCGAAGGCAUGGGAGAGCUUGUGGAGAUGCUCAAGGGAGCGCGGCGGCGCUUCUGAUUAUGGAAGAUACCGGCCUGCCGACAAGGUGCAAGGGAAUCAUGGGCCAUGGUGAAGACGAGGUACACCAAGGCUGACCCGGACCACAUGGCCGAGGUCGGACUUGUAGGGUCAUAUGGGAAAGAUAUCCCCGUUAGUCUGGUAUAUGACCAGGUAGCUUUAGCCGCAAAGUAUUCCUAACAGGAUUGUAGGCUAGACAGCCUGUUGGAUGGUAUAGAAGAAGAGUUUAGUCAGUAUAAGUGACUUUGUACUUCAAAGGGCAUAUUUUGUCCCUAGUCGGAUUGUAAAUCAUUUGUCUUGGCGGACCUUUUCGCUUCAACCUCUAGAACUGACAGUCCAGAGUGUAUCCGAAAACCCGCUCAGUUAUGUGAAAACCGGGGCAUGCGUGGAAACCAGGCGUAGGGGUCAUAAGUGCUUGAACAGAAAAGUACCCAACUAGCUAUGUUAUAUUACAUGGAUAGUAAGAAACAUCUUCCAGGAAGAAUAGUUCCGUUAAGGGUUCCUUUCCCUGGGUAUGCAUGCAUUAAUGUGCAUGCCUGAACUGCGAAAAGCGACGCAGGAUAUAAACAUCUGGGGGCAUGUAUUGAAAUAAGUAAGAAACAUCUUUUGGUCGCCGAUCGAAUAUUCCCUUAAGAACGCUAGCUUUCGGCUUCACCCAGUCUGAGGUACACAUCCGGCUGACCCGGCAGUAACAAUCACAGAAGUGCUCCCCUUAUGCCCUAGCCGAAUUAACGAGAACGUAGGGCAUAAACACAAGAACCAGGCAACCUAGCUUGGCCAAAACUUAAGUCAUAUCAAUGCAUAUAAUGGCGAAAAAAGGCACAUAUGGAGAAGUGACGCAUAUGUGGUGGGCAUAAAGCCCAGAAGAUAACUAUAUUAAGCUUCUGUAUAAGAAGCCCCCAGGUAUAUUGUGCAUGCAUAGCGUGGCAGGAGUGUGCGAUCGAAGCACACUUAAAGCCCUUAAGGCUAUAUAUAAAAUAGGAAAGAAAGAAAGAAGGAGGACAUAACUUAAAAAAAGCGGAGGUAGGGAGACGAACACAGAGUUCGGUACUAGGCAUAGAAUCUUCGGAGUCUGGCCACGUUCUAUGGGUUCAGCUCAGGUCGGUUAUCUGAUGCAUCACGCAGACGGUACGCUCCUCCGGUGAGAACUUUAUCAAAGAUGAAGGGACCCUCCCACCUGGGCUUGAGCUUGUCCUUUUUCUUCUCCGGUAGGCGUAGAACGAGUUCGCCAACGUUAUAAGUUUUGGCUCGUACUUCUCUGCUUUGAUACCUUCGAGCCUGCUGCUGAUAAAAUUGCGGAACGGGCCUUCGCAAUGUCCCGCUCCUCCUCCAGGGCAUCUAAACUAUCCUGCCAAUCCAGCUCGGCUUCUCUCUCUUCGUACAUGCGCACUCGAGGUGGGUCAUGAAUGAUAUCGCAGGGUAGUACUGCCUCUGCGCCGUACACCAUAAAAAAUUGUGUGUAUCCGGUGGUGCGAUUUGGCGUGGUCUGCAGCCCCCAUAGUACGGACUCGAGCUCCUCGACCCAGUGCGUAUCUGAUUCCUUUAAGGAUCUCACUAGUCUGGGUUUGAUGCCGCUCAUAACAAGACCAUUUGCUUGUUCGACUUGACCGUUUGUUUGGGGGUGAUAGACAGAGGCAUAAUCGAGCUUAAUGCCCAUCUUGCCGCACCAAGUUUUCACCUCGUCGGCUGUGAAGUUGUAGCCGUUACCAGUGAUGAUGUUGUGGGGGACACCGUAACGGUGUACGACUCCGGAUAUAAAGUCUAUCACUGGUCCCGAUUCGGCCAUUUUAACUGGUUUGGCCUCUAUCCAUUUGGUGAAUUUAUCUACCAUGACCAACAAGUAUUUUUCUUAUGGCUUCCUCCUUUAAGCGGUCCAACCAUAUCGAGCCCCCAGACCGCGAAGGGCCAAGUUAUGGGGAUUGUUUGGAGAGCGGUAGGUGGCAUAUGGCUUUGAUUUGCAAAAAGCUGGCAACCGACGCAAUGUUGGAUGAGGUCCUGUGCGUCCGCUCGGGCUGUCGCCUAGUAGAAACCUGUACGGAAGGCCUUGCUUACAAGGGCCUGAGCUGCGGUGUGGUGGCCGCCGAGUCUAGCAUGAAUUUCUGCCAAAAGUUGUCGUCCUUCCUCUUCGGAGAUGCACCUUUGGAGCACUCCAGUCGCACUUUUCUUAUAAAGCUCUCCCUCGUGGACCUUGUAGGCUUUAGAACGCCGUCAAUGCAACGUGCCUCAUUUUGGUCCUCGGAGAGUUCUUGCCUAUUUAGGUAGGCUAAGAAGGGUUCUGUCCAUGGGACGAUGACGGCCAUAAUCACGUGGUCCGGCGGUGUUAUUUCGGUGGCGGAGCCUUCGAUUAUGUCAGAGUGUUCGGGAUCUGGGGUUGUGUUCGGAUCCAGACUAAUAUUGUCGGUCUCCCCUUCCCACACCACGGAUGGCUUGAAUAGCCUUUCCAGGAAGAUAUUAGGUGGGACGGGUCGCGCUUAGCACCGAUGCCGGCGAGGAUAUCCGUCGGUUGAUUGUUUUCUCGGACCACAUGGUGGAAUUCGAGCCCCUCGAACCGAGCUGACAUUUUAAGGACGGCAUUGCGGUAGGCCGCCAUUUUUGGGUCCUUGGCGUCAAAGUAUCCAUUUAUUUGAGAUAUUGCAAGGUUCGAAUCCCCAUGCACUUCUAGGCGUUGAAUGCCCAUGGAGACUGCCAUCCGAAGACCAUGCAACAGAGCCUCAUAUUCGGUUGCAUUGCUGGAAUCUGUGUAUAGUAUUUGGAGUACAUAUUGGAUUGUAUCUCCGGUGGGGGAUGUUAGGACAACGCCUGCCCCUAGACCAGCCAGCAUCUUAGAGCCGUCAAAGUGCAUGAUCCAAUUGGAGUACAUGCCGUACUCUUUGGGGAGUUCGGCUUCUGUCCAUUCGGCGACGAAGUCAGCCAGUACUUGCGACUUAAUGGCUCGCCGUGGUUUGUAUGUUAUGUCAAACGGGAGGAGCUCGAUAGCCCAUUUAGCAAUCUGGCCCGUGGCAUCGCGGUUAUUUAUUAUGUCAUUGAGUGGUACUUCGGAGGCCACCGUGAUUGAACACUCUUGAAAGUAGUGUCGUAGUUUUCGGGGUGCCAUGAAGACUGCAUAUGCUAUCUUUUGAUAAUGUGGGUACCGUGACUUGCAUGGAGUGAGGACAGUGGAUACAUAGUAUACUGGCUUUUGAAGCGGGAACUUGUGUCCGUUUGUCUCUCAUUCGAUGACGAGCACUGCGCUUACACCCUGGUGUGUUGUAGCUAUAUAUAACAACAUGGUUUCGCUAAUACUUGGCGCGGCCAUGAUUGGAUUGUUGGCCAAGAGGGCCUUCAUUUAUUUCAGUCCGGCCGUAGCCGCAUCCGUCCACUCGAAGUGGUCGGUGCGUCGAAGAAAGCGAUAGAAAGGUAAUGUCUUUUCUCCUAAUCGGGAGAUAAAGCGGCUUAGGGCAGCCACGCAUCCAGUUAUUUUCUGGAUUUGCUUGAGGUCUGUUGGGGUAGCCAACUGUGACAGAGCUUGGAUUUUAGCCGGAUUUGCCUCAAUUCCUCUAUUGGAGACAAUGAAGCCCAAGAGCUUUCCGGCAGGUACACUGAAGACACAUUUUUUCGGAUUGAGCUUGAUGUCAUAUGUUCGGAGAUUGUCAAACGUAAGCCUCAAGUCGUCUAUUAAGGAUUCGACAUGUCUGGUUUUGAUGACCACGUUGUCUACAUAUGCCUCCACUGUUUUGCCUAUUUGUGUUUCCAGGCAUGUCUGAAUCAUGCAUUGAUAGGUUGCACCGGCAUUUUUGAGCCUGAAAGGCAUGGUGUUAAAACAGAAGGGGCCGUAUGGAGUGAUGAAUGCCGUUGCGGCUCUAUCGGAUUCCGCCAUCUUUAUUUGAUGGUAUCCGAAGUAUGCGUCGAGGAAACACAGUGAGUCGUGUCCUGCGGUAGCGUCGAUGAUUUGAUCGAUGCCGGGGGAGGGGGAAGGGAUCCUUAGGGCAAGCCUUAUCGAGGUCCUUGAAAUCGAGGCAUAGGCGCCAGGAUUUGUCCUUCUUUGGUACCAUCACCAGGUUUGCUAGCCAGUCCAGAUGUUUUAUUUCUCUGAUGAAUCCGGCCUCGAGUAGCUUGGCUAGCUCUUCUCCCAUGGCUUGUCACUUGGGUUCUGAAAAGCGUUGAGGAGUCUGCUUGACCGGCUUGUAUCCCUUUAGUAUGUUUAGGCUAUGCUCGACCAGCCUGCAUGGGAUACCUGGCAUGUCUGAAGGAUGCCAGGCGAAGAUGUCCCAAUUCUCGUGCAAGAACUCUCGUAGUGCAGCGUCUAUUGUGGGGUUUAGCUGUGCUCCAAUUGAUGAUGUUUUUGUAGGGUCCGUUGGGUGGACCUGGAAUUUGACUAUUUCAUCUGCUGGUUUAAAAGAGGUGGACUUGGGUCGUUUGUCGAGUAUCACGUCGUCCCUGUCCACUAUGGACCGCAGUGCAGUUAAUUCUUCGGCUGUGAGAGCUUCAGUAAUGCCUCCAGGGCUAGUGCGGCGGUUUUAUUUUCGACGCGGAGUGCGAUGUCCAGAUCACUAGCUAAAGUGAUGAUUCCAUUGGGCCCAUGCAUCUUGAGCUUCAUGUACCCGUAAUGGGGUAUAGCUUGGAAGCUCGUGAAUGUGUCCCGCCCUAAAAGGGCGUGGUAUCCACUACUGAACGGGGCCACUUGGAAUGUAAUUUCUUCGGACCUACAAUUCUCCGGUGUGCCGAAUACCACAUCCAGUGUGAUUUUUACCGCACAUCGUGCCUCCCGACUAGGGAUUAUUCCUCUGAAGGUCGUGCUGCUUUGCUCGAUGCGGCUCUUGUCUAUCUCCAUUUUGUUGAGAGUUUCCUUGUAGAUGAGGUUUAAUCCGCUGCCACCGUCCAUGAGUACUUUAGAUACCGGAAGCCGUCCACAAUUGGACUAAGGACCAAAGCGACUGGUGCUUGGACUGUUCUGAAUUGAGGUUCGUCACUGUCAUUGAAGGUUAUAGCUGUGUCGUCCCAUGUAUUUAUUGCUGCAACGUGGCAGACUUCGGCGAGGCUGCGGUGUGCUCGCUUACACAUAUUGUUUGAGGUGAAAGUCUCGAAGACUGUCAGUACUGUAUUGUUAUUCUCCAUGGGAUGGUGCUUUGUGGUAUUGUUGAUGAGGAGAUCCUCCCCGCUCUUGGCCACCUGCCGGAGUAUCCAACAUGCUCUAAGCCUAUGUGUUGGUAUGAUAUCCGGUGUGCUGUGAAUUUUGCAUGGCCCAUUGAGCCAUCCCUCCAGUACGGUUCCACGCCCUGUAGAGGGUUGUGGCUUCUUUGUAAUUGGAUUGGGUGACUUGCGAGAGCGCAUCCUUUUAGUUCGGACGAGGGGUUUAGUGAGAGCCGGAGGAUCCCAGAAUUUUGUUUGGGUUUUCCAGGCGCUUUUCAUCGCACAAUACUUAUGUACUAUGGCCGCCAAGUCAGCAAAGUGUGCGAUGUCAAAACGACUUAUGGCGUUGAGGAUUCCCUUGUCCAUGCAGUUUUUGCAAAAGAAUGAAAUUGCGUCUUCCUCGCGACAGUCCUUGACCUUGCUCAUUACAAGGAGGAAUCUGGCCCAGAAGUGAUGUACUAUCUCUUUGGGCUCUUGUCUAAUGUGGGAAAGAUCACUUGUAUCUGGGUGGGUGGGUAGAUUUAAGUCCAAACCCUGACCCAAUCUGAGACCCAGGGGCGGAGGAGUUCCCGAGCUUGGCGGCUCGGACUCCAGAAUGUUGCCCAAUUUUUCUGGCCCGCUGCCCGAUUCUAGGUUCGGAGCCUGGGCCAUGUCCUCCCGUAGACGGGUAUUCGGCUCGGAGAGCUCGGGAAUCCGGACAUAGUUCAUCCUCAAAAUAGAGGAAGAAUCGCUGUAUUGCUCCUCCACCACCGCUAUCUGAUGGGUGACCGGCCGAGAGUUAAUCUCCCUUUGGUCGGGUUUAAGCUUGAUCCGAUCAUAAUCCAUAUAUAGCGACUCCCAGGGUGGCGAUGCGAUCCAAGAGCUCGUUCAGGGAGGAGAGCUCCAUUGGAGCCAUCUGCUCGGUGAAUUCCGAGCUGACGUGGAGGCUGUUCUUGAUGACCUGAGAAGUCAUCGUCGGCGUGGCGGCCGAACGGGCGGCCAUGACAAAGCCGCCCAGCCGGAGAGUCUGGCCUACAGCCAGGGUUCCUCCAGAGGUGAUGUUGUCCUUGACAACAAGGCGAGCCAUCAAGACUUAUCGGGACGGUACAGUGGAACUCUCAAUGAAAGCACCAAUGUCGGUGUCAAAAUCGGCAGAUCUCGGGUAGGGGGUCCCGAACUGUGCAUCUAAGGCUAAUGGUAACAGUAGGCGGGGGACACGAUGUUUACCCAGGUUUGGGCCCUCUCAAUGGAGGUAAUACCCUACUUCUUGCUUGAUUGAUCUUGAUGAUAUGAGUAUUACAAGAGUUGAUCUACCACGAGAUCGUAGAGGCUAAACCCUAGAAGCUAGCCUAUGAUUAUGAUUGUUGUUGUCCUACGGACUAAACCCUCCGGUUUAUAUAGACACCUGAGGGGGCUAGGGUUACACAAAGUUGGUUACAGAGAAGGAGAUCUACAUAUCUGAAUUGCCAAGCUUGCCUUCCGCGCAAAGGAGAGUCCCAUCCGGACACGGGACGAAGUCUUCAAUCUUGUAUCUUCAUAGUCCAAUAGUCCAGCCAAAGUAUAUAGUCCGGCUGUCCGAGGACCCCUUAAUCCCGGACUCCGUCAGUAGCCCCUGAACCAGGCUUCAAUGACGAUGAGUCCGGCGCAUAGAUUGUCUUCGGCAUUGCAAGGCGAGUUCUUCUCCAAAUUCUCUAGAGUACAUGUUGUAACGAGCAGUGUCUGGCUUCCCAUCAAUGUUGCACUCCUCGGCUUCUGUGUUGUGAUAAUGGCUAUCUCCACGUGUCGAGCAAGUGCGAGAAGUCGGGGAAUUUUUACAUUUGCCACCCUGACCAUGUAAAUAAAUCAUCUAUUUAAAGAGACAGGGAUCCUCAGAUCCAAAUCACACCAUCCUCCCCCAGCGAGCAUCCACCAGCCCGGAAGAAACCAUUCCAUCAUGGUCGGCCAUCGCAGCUCCUCCUCUCGCUCCCGUAGCACAUAUCCGAAUUGUCAAGCUUGCCUUCCACGCAAAGGAGAGUCCCAUCCAGACACGGGACGAAGUCUUCAAUCUUGUAUCUUCAUAGUCCAACAGUCCGGCCAAAGAUAGUCCGGUUGUCCGAGGACCCCUUAAUCCCGGACUCCCUCAAUGAUGACACAAAAGAAAACAAGGAACAAGAGGAAGCGACAAGAAAAGGAAGAGAAAAUGAAGGUCUCCAUCGAGCUACAAGCGAAGAAGCUCGAGAUGGACGAGGAUGUCAAAAGGAGGAAGCUCGAGAUCGAGGAGGCCGUCCAAAUGAAGAAGCUCGAGACCGAGGCCACCAAUGCAAACACCAAAGCAAAAGAGGUGGCGCUAGCUUUAUGACCGUGGACUUGAGCAAGAUGUCCCUGAAAAGAAGAAGUUGGUUCGAGAAGAAGCAAAAGAAGAUGCUCGAGCAAGAUGAUUGAGCUAUGGCCAAAGGCCGCAUCGUUUUUGUAUGCCGGCUUGUGUGCCGGCAUGAACGAGGGGGGCCGUGAGACAUGAACUAUGGUUGUUUCUGGUGCAUUGGCUGCUGGCUUUUGUUGUCGGCGUGAAACUAUGGGGAUUGAUCAUUUUGUAGGCACGCAUAUGUGCCGGCCGCUGGCACUCUGGCCGGCAUGAAUUAUGACUGCGGUGCCUACAUUUCAGUUUUCAUUUCCUUUGCAAAAAAUUUAGGCGGCCGGAUGAAAUGCGUCUGACGGCUGGACUCAUGCCCCGUGCAAACGUAGAUAUGGCUGGACACCGCCCCUUUCCAGAUCCAAACGGAUAGAAUCCGAACAAAAUGGAAGAGGUUGGCCUCUUGGACCCUGAGACUUACGAGAAAAGAACCACCUUGAGUGCUGAGCUGAAUGAUAUCCUGGCUGAUGAAGAGCUAUUUUGGCUUCAGCACUCGAAUGAACGAUGGUUGUUAAAAGGGGACUGUAACACAGCCUAUUUCCACCGUAUAGCUAAUGGUAGGAAGAGAAAGAACACCAUUCAUUCCCUUGAUGAUGGGGAUAGGGUCAUAGAGGGCACAAAAAAUCUCCUGGAGCAUGCCACUUCAUAUUACAAGGGACUCUUUGGCCCAGCCAACGGAAAUAUUUUUCACCUCUCUCCUGAAACCUGGUCUGAUGAGGAGAAACUUACGGAAGAUGACAACCUCAUCUUGACUGGUGCUUUUACUGAAGAGGAAGUUAAAAAAUCCUUAUUCAGCAUGAAUAGUAAUAGGGCCCCUGGACCUGAUAAUAUUCCAGUUGAGUUUUAUAAACACUGUUGGGACUUCGUCAAAAGAGAUAUCAUGAGACUCUUUGAAGCUUUCCAUAACAAUACACUGGAUGUUGAUCGCCUGAACUAUGGGAUUAUUACCUUGAUUCCAAAGGUCAAUGGGGCUAAACGCAUCCAACAAUACCGGCCUAUUUGCUUGCUUAGAUGCCCCUAUAAACUUAUUACUAAGGUGUUGGACAAUAGGGUUGCAAUCUUUGCAGACAAACUAUUCAGUAAACAUCAAAAUGCCUUCAUCAAUCAUAGAAACAUCAUGGAUGGUAUCCUUACUCUGCAUGAGGUGCUGCAUCAAACACAUCGUAGAAAGAGAGUGGGUGUGGUUUUAAAAUUAGACUUCGAAAAGGCCUAUGACAAGAUCAAUUGGGAUUUCCUCAUUGAAUGUCAUCACAACCGUGGCUUUGGAUCAACCUGGAGUGGCUGGGUAGAGAAGAUCCUCAAGAAUGGCACUUUGAGCAUUAAGCUCAACAAUGAAAGUGGCCCAUACUUUCAAAGUCACAAGGGGGUUCGCCAAGGCGAUCCUCAUUCUCCCUUCUUGUUCAAUAUUGCUGUAGAAACUCUCUCUAAAAUAGUUCUCAAUGCUCAAAGGCAGAAGCUGCUUGUUGGGCUUGCACCCGACUUGAUCGAGGGGGGCGUGGCCAUUUUACAGUAUGCGGAUGACACGGUUAUCUGCUUUGAACACGACAAGGAUGCGGCUGUUAACCUUAAACUUCUCCUGUACAUGUUCGAGCUUAUGUCAGGCUUAAAAAUUGAUUUCAUGAAGAGUGAGAUCCUUUGUAUUGGAGGUGAUGAGGAAAUGAUUGCUUUUUUAUUCUGAGUUGUUUAACUGCAGCAUCGGACAUUUCCCUAUGAGGUACUUGGGAAUGCCGGUCAGCUUUUCUACCUUGCGUAGUAUUGACUGGGAUUUCUUGGAAGAAAGGUUCCUUAAGUGUUGUGAAUCCUGGAUCGGCAAUGCAGCGUCCUCGGGGGGGUCGUUUGAUCCUUCUUAACUCAUCUUUGACUAGUAUUGUAUUUUAUUAUAUGUCGAUGUUCUUGUUAUCGAAAAAAGUGAUUGGGAAACUGGAUAAGAUUCUUAAACGUUUCUUUUGGCAAGAACAUGAGGGUCGUAAGAGAUAUCAUUUGGUUAAAUGGUCCAGAAUUUGUCGUUCUAAGGAAAAGGGAGGCCUGGGGGUGAAAGACUUACAUAAACAAAAUAUGAGUCUCCUCACUAAGUGGUGGUGGAAGUUGGAAACGCAACAAGGGCUUUGGCAGGAUAUUAUCCGUGCUAAAUACUUCAAAAAAGAUACAAUUGUCUCGGUUAAAUCUAAAUUUGGUGACUCUCCCAUUUGGAAAGCCAUUAUGAAAGCCAAAGAUUUCUACCUAGUGGGGAGGAAGGUUUUACUCAAUUCUGGUAACCUUGCUAGAGUGUGGGAUGAUUGUAUCAAUAGUGAUACUCCCUUGUGCGAUCAAUAUCGGGAGUUAUAUAGUGUUUGCAAUGAUCAGGGGAUCACUGUGGCUAGCUUUAAGAAUGGUCUGGGUAAUAAUUUCUUUCGGAGACGUCUACACCCCCCUUUUAGUGAGCGGUGGAAGGAUAUGCAAAAUGUGGUGGCCUCGUGGCCAACCAACAAUGAACCUGAUCAGAUUGUGUGGGCUUUGGGGGGUAAGAAAGGCAAUUUUACCACCAAGUCAGUUUACAAGUGCCAGGAAAGAAACCUGGCGGGGUGUAACUAUAAGUGGAUUUGGUGUGCCAAAAUUCCACUUAAGAUUCAGAUUUUCUUGUGGCAACUUUUCCAGGACUCCACUCUUACUAGGGAUGUGAUGAGGAGACGGAAUUGGUUGGGAAAUCCCUCUUGUUCCUUCUGUGAGUGUAGAGAGACAUCCCGGCACCUGUUUUUCACCUGUCCGGUGGCUAGAGUUGUGUGGAGGACGGUUGGGUGUGUUCUGGGAACUGACCUUUGCCCGAACAACAUCUGGCAAUACUUUGCUUGGUGUUUUUUCUUCCUAUCCGAUGGGGAGAGAUUCUAUACAUUUGGGCUGGCCGCUCUUUGUUGGGCCAUGUGGAACUGUCGUAAUAGAACGACCUUUGAGUUCAAGAAGAUGAGUUCUCCUUUUGAUGUGAUUUAUGUUGCUUGUGGCUUUAUUACUUAUUGGGCAUGUAUGCUGAAGGGAGAAGACCGCGAAGCAAUGGAGAGGGGAGCCAAGAUGCUGAGAGACAAUGCUGGGAACAUGAUGCGCAUUGCGCGGCCCCGGGGAGGAUCAACUGAAGAUCAAAAGGCUGCUUCCCCCACUUCUCUUCGCCCCGGUUUUGCUGUCUGUAACUCCUGGCCCUUUUGGUGUCGUUGGUGUUGUGUCGAGCGAUGGGAGGCUCCUGCGUGAGCAUGAAUUUGAUUAGCCUGAUGGUACUGGUAGUUUAUCUUGGAUAUUUUGGUGUCGCUGGGUUUUCCCCCGCAAUAAGCUGUCUGCUGACAAGUGUUUAUUGUGGGUUUCCCAGGGACGCGUUGAACCCGCUUUCCCCUUUCUUUGUUUCUUGGUUGGUCCGUCGAACCGUUGUAUUUCCGUUAUGCAAGUAAUGGAAAGGGGUUAUGCCCGGUUAAAAAAAAGAAUCCGAACAAAAUGAACGAUUUGUUUGAGAUCGCCCGUUUGAGUUAACCUUAUUCGAUUCACUGACACAAUACGACUACAUGUAGUACUACUCCGUAUACAAAAAUCUGCACAUUCCUUUUUUUUGCUUUAUAAGAUCACCGCACAAGCAUCGAGGGUUCAUUUAUAUACUAGUUCAGCCAAAAAAAGAGAGCGGUGAUUUGGUCUCCGGGCUCAGAUGAGCCCGGGCAUGACCAGCACCGCGAUUUGAAAAGUAAAAAAGGUUCAAAAAAUUCCAAAAAAUUUCAUGGUGCAAGAUGUUCUUGUGUGUGAACUCUGUGCAAAAAAUUAUGGAGUUUGGACAUUUGAGGAGCUCGUAGCAAAAAAGAUAAAUUUUACAUGUACUAGAAACUUUUGAAAAUCGCAAUGUUCAUGACUGAUUUUGUCUUUUUUGCCAUGAGUUCCUUGAAUAUCCAAACUUCACAAAUUUUGCAUGGAGUUCACGCACAAAAGCAUCUUCUGCCACAAAAAAAUUAAUUUUUUUGAACUUUUUUUCUUUUCAAAUCAUGGUAAUGUUGACAGGGCUCAUCUGAGCCCGGACUCUGGGUUGAACUAUCCUAUAUGUUUUCUGCAUACAAGGCUUGAAGACAACAUGCCUCUUUUGUCCAGCAACAAAAAAGGGGGGGAAGGAGCAGCAUCCAAAAAAGACGAGAAAGAGACACGAAAAAAGAAAGGAGCAAAUAAUUCAAUUUCUGGCUUGAAGUUUUUUACAAUCAGUGGCCAGGACCGCAAAAUCGGUUUCAUAAGCGGGCCACAACUAUGAUUCCUUGAUGUGCAUUGCCAUUUUAAGCUAGUCCACAAGCGAUUAUGAUUAGAUAGAUGAUGAUGCACCUGUGUGAAUUAACCCGCGGCUCAAGUCCAGCCAAGUUCAUCGUGGACGUGAGCAAUGGCAUCAUGGCAACCACAAACCUUGAUCCAGGUCAUAAAUGUCGAUGGGUUGUCGCUGGAGAGGCACACCUAUAAAGAUAGCCAACCAUAUGAUGAAGACAUAUCAGUUCAAUGCGAUCUGCCGGUUGUUUUCUUCAAGAUCUGAAUCGUCAUAGUACAUUCGAAAAUUAUGUUGUCCAUUUCUUUAUUCGUCGAGAAAGUCAAGUGGAUCUGCAAAGGGAUUAUCAUAGACAUUUUCCUCUGAAAUGUACCUCGCAUAAGGAUUAGCAUAGACUUGAGCAAGAUGACUAGAUCGUGCUCCGUCAAACUUGUUUAAUUUUAACUAACUCUAGAAAAAAAAUAUAUUAGCAUCUAGUAGAAUACUAAAUUAGUCUCAUAACUUUAUAAAAUGAGUUAAUUCUAUUUUUUACCCCCAUGAUUUAUCCUUUUGACAAAGUUUACUGAAUUUUAAGAAAAUCAUCAAUUUAUAUCCCCAUUGAUUGAUUUUGUACCAUAUUUAAGCGAUUUUUCUCAAUUUUGUGCUGACUAGGCAUGCCGCGUAGACGUUCUUUUUUUGUAUGGUUUUUUUACUACAUAAAACGAACCAAAUCAGCCUGCGCAAGUUUUUUUCUCUAGGUUAUUGUUUGGGUUUUGUUACUACAGAAAAUCAAACCAAACAAGUUUCGCCCGUCCGUUCGUCCACACAUCCAUCCCCAUGGGCGCGACGGAGCAGCAUCCUCAGCAUCAACUGACGGUGGAGUCACCGACAAAGGGCUAGGCGAAAAGGACGUUGGUGACCAAACCUUAAAAAGCGAGGAGUGCGCUCCCCUGCUAGGGUUCCCUCCCCCGCCGCUGCCGCCGGCGCGCCCCUCCCAGUUCGCCCCGCUCCCCCCUCUCCUUCCCUCCCCCCGGGNNNNNNNNNNNNNNNNNNNNNNNNNNNNNNNNNNNNNNNNNNNNNNNNNNNNNNNNNNNNNNNNNNNNNNNNNNNNNNNNNNNNNNNNNNNNNNNNNNNNNNNNNNNNNNNNNNNNNNNNNNNNNNNNNNNNNNNNNNNNNNNNNNNNNNNNNNNNNNNNNNNNNNNNNNNNNNNNNNNNNNNNNNNNNNNNNNNNNNNNNNNNNNNNNNNNNNNNNNNNNNNNNNNNNNNNNNNNNNNNNNNNNNNNNNNNNNNNNNNNNNNNNNNNNNNNNNNNNNNNNNNNNNNNNNNNNNNNNNNNNNNNNNNNNNNNNNNNNNNNNNNNNNNNNNAUCGCAGCGGCGGACUCGCGGGGUGGCCGGCUGGUGGCGACGCGUCGACGCCCUGGAUCUCGCGCACGGCGGGGUGGCUGUGGUGCUCCCAUUUCGGGAGGUGGCGUGCGGUUGGCCUCCUGCUGGAUCUGGCCAGAUCUGGCGGUGGGGGUCGGUCGGCGGCGCGUGGCAGCGGUGGUGCAUGCCCGGCGGCUCCGGCGCUAGGACGCUCGCCGGGCGACGCGGGUAGCAGCGGCCGGGCGUGGUCGUUGCUCCGGCCGUGGGCGGCGACGUGUGGAGGUACGGCGGUGGUGGAUUCCCGGUGUCGUGGCGGCUUCAUGGUGGCUUGGCGGAUCCGCCUGCGGCGGCGGCCGACCUAUCCGGCGUCGGCUUGUCUGCUAUCGGACCGUUUCGGCCUUCACCCCAUCUCCCCGGUGUCCGGUCGCCACUCCCUUCGAAGGGCUGGCCCUCUCCCAGCUGCGGUCCAUCGCUCGUCUCGCGCACAGUGACACAUGACCGAGCUCGUCNNNNNNNNNNNNNNNNNNNNNNNNNNNNNNNNNNNNNNNNNNNNNNNNNNNNNNNNNNNNNNNNNNNNNNNNNNNNNNNNNNNNNNNNNNNNNNNNNNNNNNNNNNNNNNNNNNNNNNNNNNNNNNNNNNNNNNNNNNNNNNNNNNNNNNNNNNNNNNNNNNNNNNNNNNNNNNNNNNNNNNNNNNNNNNNNNNNNNNNNNNNNNNNNNNNNNNNNNNNNNNNNNNNNNNNNNNNNNNNNNNNNNNNNNNNNNNNAGCUUGUCUCGCGCUCCGGGCCGCAGGAUGGGUCGAUGUAUGCCAGUGCUAGCUGACCUAUUGGGUCUCGACGCUGGGGGUGGACCAGGGGUGCAAAGGCGGCUUCUUUUCCGCUCGUCUCUUUGGUUGGGGUAGCGGCGGGUCUCGGGUGUGGUGGUGUCAAGGUCUUGGAUGCCGGGGCGGCGGCCCUGUGGACGGUAGCACGAUGCUCUUGGGAAGAACCCGUGUCUUGGCGCUGCCCAGUGGCCAUGGCCGUGUGGGUGGCGUGGUCGCCGGGGUAUAGCGUUUGGUGGCAGUGAGUGUUGGUCGGGGUGAAAACCUGCUCUAUCUUCGGACGGAACAGCGAGGAUGAAGCUCGUUCCCUUCUUGAAGGCGUCGUCGCGACUCUCACCACCCGUCGUGCGGCUCCACGGGAAACUCUGAUCCUCGGAUCGGGCGAUGGCGGCGCUCCGGUGUCGUAUCCUUCCUGAAGGCGCCGCCUUGGAGCCCACGGUUCAUUGUAUGCGGCUUCAUCUCUUCGUGGUAGUGUGCUAGGGGUGGUGUUGUUGCGCUCAGCGCUUAUGUAUCCUUCCUUGGGUGUGUGUGGUGUUGGUGUGCGUUUGUUUCGGAUGAUGUUGAUCUUUGCUUUAUAUAUAAAGCGGGGCGAAAGCCUUUUUCGGUAAGGACGUUGGUGUUCACGUAUGACACACUGAAGCGGGGCUUCUCGAACCACGACCUGCUCCAGGACCUAGCAUGCGCGUUGGUAGCAAGUAAUAAAAGUGUGUGAAAAUGGUGUCUCAAUGCUUAGAAAUAAGACCUAGGGUUCAUACUUCACUAAUGUAAUCUCUCAACAUCAUUAACAUAAUUACAUCACAUGAUAAUCCCUCAAAGUGCAGCAAAGAGUCACUCCAAAGUCUCUAUUCCUAUCAGACAAAGUAGGACGAAAUCACGUAGGUAGUAAACCAUCUCAAAGUUGUGUUUCCAAUCAAUCUAUUGAACCACCCUCAAAGUGUCAUGAAUAGUUCUAGAGAUCGCACUAUAACAACACCAUAUGAUACAUAUCAUUCAACUCUUAUGUCACCUAGAUUACCCAAUGUCACCACGGGUAUCCAUGAGUUAGACAUGCAUCAAGUGAUCUCAAAUUCAAAAUAUUCAAUCGAACAUAAAUAAACCUCAAAGAGUAAGACUUAAUUCACCACUUUAUUAACAAAGCUCAUGAUGUAUCAAGAUCGUGUCAAAUCAAGAACAUAAGAGGGAGAGAUCAAACACACAACCACUUGUACAAAUAGUCAGCCACAUGGAUGAACUACUCACACAUCACCAUGGAAGCAACAAAUACGAUGAAGAGGCCUCCCAUGAUGGCCUCCCUCUCCGACAGAGCGCCGAAAAAGGGCUCCAGCUGAGACCGAUUUGGAACAGAGGCUUGCGAUGGCGGAAGAGAAGUUCUCGGUUACUUUUCGAGAGUUUCUCAAUAUAUAGAAUUUUUCAGCGCUGGAUUCCCAUUAGGCGAAGUCUUGAGGGCCCCACAAGCCUUCAUUCCGUGCCCCUAGGGGGGCACACCUGGGCUUGUGGGCCCCUGAGGCACCUUUCGGCUGCCUCCAGAAGCUUCUUGGGUCUCUUCUUUUUCAUAAAUUUUCAGCACAAUUGUACCUUGAUAGAUAUUGAUUUUCUAAAAAAACAAAAAAUGAAAAAAAACAAAAAGUGACAGUGGGCACUAGAUUAAUAGGUUAGUCCAUAAAAAUAAUAUGAAAGUGCAUCAAAACCAUAUAAGAUUGAUGUAAAUAUAGCAUGAAUGCUUCAUAAAUUAUAGAUACAUCGGAGAUGUGUCAAUAUCCAUUGAGGUCUUUAGUUGUUAAACUAUUUGAUGCACUUACCACCCCAUCUAAGCACAUGUGCAUUGAGGCCUCGGUGUGACAACUAGUGUGAUGUCCAAUAUUGAUUAACAUUAAUACAAUUUAUGUUAUUUCUAAAUAAUUAUAAACAAUGCAAUUAAAUGUGAUUUGAAGAUUUACUACCAUUAAUGCAAUUAAUGUUGUUUUGAGACAAUUGCAAUUAAUGUUUUUAGAUUGACAGCGAUGAGCCGGAUACAGCAUUGGAGCAAUAUGUGUCGUUGCAUAUGUUGGAGAUAUGCCCUAGAGGCAAUCUUGUAUAAUGAUAGUUCUCCAUGUGUUUAUGGAUUAAGGAUAGUCCUUGGACAUUAUCAAUGAUGUGCAUCAAUAAGUACAUGACUUAUUUGUGAUUUGUGAGACCAUACAUUGUAUGAUGAUUGUCCUAAAUGGUCCCUGGUCGAAAGGACUGUGUGGACUCACCCCGACUAGACUAGCAUAUGACAUGAUGGAUGGCUUGGUCUCACUAGCCAUGUAGCAUUGGAUUCAAGAGUCGGAUCUGGGUCCAAAUAAGGUCUGAGUCAAACAAACCCGAUUAGAGAUGCAGCAAGAUGUGGUCAUGUGUUAGUCUCUAGUACGACAUGCGUUUUGUGUCCUAGACCUGAGGUUGGCGCAUGGACUCAUGAUGGUGACCGACCUACUUUGGCCGACCAAAGGCUACUCCAUGACCAAGUAGUUAUAAAGGUUGAUUUCAGGCUUGUCUUGAUCCAUGUCGUGAGACAUGGUCGAGCAAGAUGACAUUUUUGUUGGGGAACAUUGCAGAAAAUUAAAAUUUUUCCUACAGUUUCACCAAGAUCCAUCUAUGAGUUCAUCUAAGCAACAAGUGAUAGGAGAGGGAAGCAUCUACAUACCACUUGUAGAUCGCGUGUGGAAGUGUUCAAGGGAACGGGGAUGAUGGAGUCGUACUCGCCGUGAUCCAAAUCACCGAUGACCAAGUGCUGAACGGACAACACCUCCGCGUUCAACACACGUACAGAGCGGACGACGUCUCCUCCUUCUUGAUCCAGCAAGGGGGGAGGAGAGGUUGAGGAAGAAGGCUCCAGUAGCAGCACGACGGUGUGAUGAUGGUGGAGAGGCAGUACUCCGAUAGGGCUUCGCCAAGCACUCAACGGAGGAGGAGAGGUGUUGGGGAGGGGAGGGACUGCACCUUGGAUCAGGUGUUCAACACUCCCCUCACCCCUCUAUUUAUAGGGGAAGGGGGAAGGGGGCCGGCCCCCUCUAGAUGAGAUCUAGAGGGGGGCGGCCAGGGAGGGGGGCUUGCCCCCAAGCAAGGGGGGCGCCCCCACUAGGGUUCCCCCCCCCCAACCCUAGGCGCAUGGGCCCAAGGUGGGGCGCCCAGCCCUCCAGGGGCUGGUUCCCUGACCCUUGUGGCCCAUGAGGCCCUCCGAGAGGGGUGGCCCCUCCCGGUGGACCCCCGGAACCCCUCCGAUGGCCUCGGUACAAUACCGAUAUGCCCCCGAAACUUUCCGGUGUCCGUAUGACAACUUCCCAUAUAUAAAUCUUCACCUCCGGACCAUUCCGGAACUCCUCAUGAUGUCCGGGAUCUCAUCCGGGACUCUGAACAACAUUCGGUAAUCACAUACAAGUCUUCCUAAUAACCCUAGCAUCACCGAACCUUAAGUGUGUAGACCCUACGGGUUCGGGAGACAUGCAGACAUGACCGAGAUGGCUCUCCGGUCAAUAAACAAUAGCGGGAUCUGGAUACCCAUGUUGGCUCCCACAUGCUCCUCGAUGACCUCAUCGGAUGAACCACGAUGUCGAGGAUUCAAUCAACCCCGUAUACAAUUCCCUUUGUCAAUCGGUACGUUACAUGCCCGAGACUCGAUCGUCGGUAUCCCAAUACCUCGUUCAGUCUCGUUACCGGCAAGUCACUUUACUCGUACCGUAAUGCAUGAUCCCAUGACCAAACACUUGGUCACUUUGAGCUCAUUAUGAUGAUGCAUUACCGAGUGGGCCCAGAGAUACCUCUCCGUCAUACGGAGUGACAAAUCCCAGUCUCGAUCCGUGUCAACCCAACAGACACUUUCGGAGAUACCUGUAGUGCACCUUUAUAGUCACCCAGUUACGUUCUGAUGUUUGGUACACCCAAAGCACUCCUACGGUAUCCGGGAGUUACACGAUCUCAUGGUCUAAGGAAGAGAUACUUGACAUUGGAAAAGCUCUAGCAAAACAAACUACACGAUCUUGUGCUAUGCUUAGGAUUGGGUCUUGUCCAUCACAUCAUUCUCCUAAUGAUGUGAUCCCGUUGUCAACGACAUCUAAUGUCCAUAGUCUGGAAACCAUGACUAUCUGUUGACCAACAAGCUAGUCAACUAGAGGCUUACUAGGGACGUAUUUGGUCUAAGUAUUCACACGUGUAUUACGAUUUCCUGAUAAUACAAUUAUAGCAUGAAUAAAAGACAAUUAUCAUGAACAAGGAAAUAUAAUAAUAAUCCUUUUAUUAUUGCCUCUAGGGCGUAUUUCCAACAGUCUCCCACUUGCACUAGAGUCAAUAAUCUAGUUACAUUGUGAUGAAUCGAACACCCAUAGAGUUCUGGUGUUGAUCAUGUUUUGCUCGUGAAAUAGGUUUAGUCAACAGAUCUGCGACAUUCAGAUCCGUAUGUACUUUGCAAAUAUCUAUGUCUCCAUCUUGAACAUUUUCACGGAUGGAGUUGAAACGACGCUUGAUGUGCUUGGUCUUCUUGUGAAACCUGGGCUCCUUGGAAAGGGCAAUAGCUCCAGUGUUGUCACAGAAGAGUUUGAUUGGCCCCGAUGCAUUGGGUAUGACUCCUAGGUCGGUGAUGAACUCCUUCACCCAAAUUUCUUCAUGCGCUGCCUCUGAGGCUGCCAUGUAUUCCGCUUCACAUGUAGAUCCCGCCACGACGCUCUGCUUGCAGCUGCACUAGCUUACUGCUCCACCAUUCAACAUAUACACGUAUCCGGUUUGUGACUUAGAGUCAUCCAGAUCUGUGUUGAAGCUAGCGUCGACGUAACCCUUUACGACGAGCUCUUCGUCACCUCAUAAACGAGAAACAUGUCCUUUGUCCUUUUCAGGUACUUCAGGAUAUUCUUGACCGCUGUCCAGUGUUCCUUGCCGGGAUUACUUUGGUACCUUCCUACCAAACUUACGGCAAGGUUUACAUCAGGUCUGGUACAUAGCAUGGCAUACAUAAUAGAUCCUAUGGCUGAGGCAUAGGGGAUGACGCUCAUCUCUUCUUUACCUUUUGCCGUGGUCGAGCAUUGAGCCGAACUCAAUCUCACACCUUGCAGUACACGCAAGAACCCUUUCUUGGACUGAUCCAUUUUGAACUUCUUCAAAAUCUUAUCAAGGUAUGUGCUUUGUGAAAGACCUAUGAGGCAUCUCGAUCUAUCCCUAUAGAUCUUGAUGCCUAAUAUGUAAGAAGCUUCUCCAAGGUCCUUCAUUGAAAAACACUUAUUCAAGUAGGCCUUAAUGUUGUCCAAGAAUUCUAUAUCAUUUCACAUCAAAAGUAUGUCAUCUACAUAUAAUAUGAGAAAUGCUACAGAGCUCCCACUCACUUUCUUGUAAACGCAGGCUUCUCCAUAAGUCUGCAUAAACCCAAACGCUUUGAUCAUCUCAUCAAAGCAAAUGUUCCAACUCCGAGAUACUUGCACCAGCCCAUAAAUGGAUCGCUGGAGCUUGCAUACUUUUUAGCAUUCUUAGGAUCGACAAAACCUUCCGGCUGCAUCAUAUACAGCUCUUCCUUCAGAUAACCGUUAAGGAAUGUCGUUUUGACGUCCAUCUGCCAUAUCUCAUAAUCAUAGUAUGCGGCAAUUGCUAACAUGAUUCGGACGGAUUUAAGCUUCGCUACGGGAGAGAAAGUCUCAUCGUAGUCAAUCCCUUGAACUUGCCAAUAACCCUUAGCGACAAGUCGAGCUUUAUAGAUGGUGACAUUACCAUUCGCUCCGUCUUCUUCUUAAAGAUCCAUUUGUUUUCUAUCGCUCGCCGAUCAUCGGGCAAGUCAGUCAAAGUCCAUACUUUGUUUUCAUACAUGGAUUCUAUCUCGGAUUGCAUGGCUUCAAGCCAUAUGUUGGAAUCUGGGCCCGCCAUCGCUUCUUCAUAGUUUGAAGGUUCACUGUUGUCUAACAACAUGAUUUCCAGGACAGGGUUGCCAUACCACUCUGGUGUGGAACGUGUCCUCGUGGACCUACGAAGUUCAGUAGCAACUUGAUCCGAAGUACCUUGAUCAUCAUCAUUAAUUUCCUCUCUAGUCGGUGUAGGCACCACAGGAACAUUUUCCUGAGCUGCACUACUUUCCGGUUCAAGAGGUAGUACUUCAUCGAGUUCUACUUUCCUCCCACUUACUCCUUUCGAGAGAAACUCUUUUUCCAGAAAGGAUCCGUUCUUGGCAACAAAGAUCUUGCCUUCGGAUCUAAGGUAGAAGGUAUACCCAAUGGUUUCCUUAGGGUAUCCUAUGAAGACGCAUUUUUCUGACUUGGGUUCGAGCUUUUCAGGUUGAAGUUUCUUGACAUAAGCAUCGCAUCCCCAAACUUUUAGAAAUGACAGCUUAGGUUUCUUCCCAAACCAUAAUUCAUACGGUGUCGUCUCAACGGAUUUAGACGGUGCCCUAUUUAAAGUGAAUGUAGCUGUCUCUAGAGCGUAUCCCCAAAAUGAUAGCGGUAAAUCGGUAAGAGACAUCAUAGAUCGCACCAUAUCCAAUAGAGUGCGAUUACGACGUUCGGACACACCGUUACGCUGAGGUGUUCCAGGCGGCGUGAGUUGUGAAACGAUUCCACAUUUCCUUAAGUGUGUACCAAAUUCAUGACUUAAAUAUUCUCCUCCACGAUCUAAUCAUAGGAACUUUAUCUUUUGGUCACGUUGAUUCUCUACCUCAUUCUGAAAUUCCUUGAACUUUUCAAAGGUCUCAGACUUGUGUUUCAUCAAGUAGACAUACCCAUAUCUACUCAAGUCAUCAGUGAGAGUGAGAACAUAACGAUAUCCUCCGUGAGCCUCAACGCUCAUUGGACCGCACACAUCGGUAUGUAUGAUUUCCAAUAAGUUGGUUGCUCGCUUCAUUGUUCCGGAGAACGAAGUCUUGGUCAUUUUACCCAUGAGGCAUGGUUCGCAUGUGUCAAAUGAUUCAUAAUCGAGAGACUCUAAAAGUCCAUCAGCAUGGAGCUUCUUCAUGCGCUUGACACCAAUGUGACCAAGGCGGCAGUGCCACAAGUAUGUGGGACUAUCGUUAUCAACUUUACAUCUUUUGGUAUUCACACUAUGAAUAUGUGUCACAUUACGUUCGAGAUUCAUUAAGAAUAAACCAUUGACCAUCGGGGCAUGACCAUAAAACAUAUCUCUCAUAUAAAUAGAACAACCAUUAUUCUCGGAUUUAAAUGAGUAGCCAUCUCGCAUCAAACGAGAUCCAGAUACAAUGUUCAUGCUCAAACUUGGCACUAAAUAACAAUUAUUGAGGUUUAAAACUAAUCUCGUAGGUAAAUGUAGAGGUAGCGUGCCGACGGCGAUCACAUCGACCUUGGAACCAUUCCCGACACGCAUCGUCACCUCAUCCUUCGCCAGUCUCCUUUUAUUCUGCAGCUCCUACUGUGAGUUACAAAUAUGAGCAACGGCACCGGUAUCAAAUACCCAGGAGUUACUACGAGUACUGGUAAGGUACACAUCAAUUACAUGUAUAUCACAUAUACCUUUAGUGUUGCCGGCCUUCUUGUCCGCUAAGUAUUUGGGGCAGUUCCGCUUCCAAUGACCCUUCCCUUUGCAAUAAAAGCACUCAGUCUCAGGCUUGGGUCCAUUCUUUGACUUCUUCCCGAUAACUGGCUUACCGGGCGCGGCAACAUCUUUGCCGUCCUUCUUGAAGUUCUUCUUACCCUUGCCCUUCUUGAACUUAGUGGUCUUAUUGACCAUCAACACUUGAUGUUCUUUCUUGAUUUCAACCUCUGCUGACUUCAGCAUUGAAAAUACUUCAGGAAUGGUCUUCACCAUCCCCUGCAUAUUGUAGUUCAACACAAAGCUCUUGUAGCUCGAUGGGAGCGACUGAAGGAUUCUGUCAAUGACCGCCUCGUCCGGGAGGUUGAUCUCCAGCUGGGACAGGCGGUUAUGCAACCCAGACAUUUUGAGUAUGUGCUCACUGACAGAACUGUUUUCCUCCAUCUUACAACUAUAGAACAUGUCGGAGACUUCAUAUCUCUCGACCCGGGCAUGAGCUUGAAAAACCAUUUUUAGCUCCUCGAACAUCUCAUAUGCUCCGUUUCGCUCAAAACGCUUUUGGAGCCCCGGUUCUAAGCUGUAAAGCAUGCCGCACUGAAUGAGGGAGUAAUCAUCAGCACGUGACUGCCAAGCGUUCAUAACGUCUUGGUUCUCUGGGAUGGGUGCUUCACCUAGCGGUGCUUCUAGGACAUAAUCUUUCUUGGCUGCUAUGAGGAUGAUCCUCAGGUUCCGGACCCAGUCCGAAUAGUUGCUGCCAUCAUCUUUCAGCUUGGUUUUCUCUAGGAACACGUUGAAGUUCAUGUUGACAUGAGCGUUGGCCAUUUGAUCUACAAGACAUAUUUUGCAAAGACUUUAGACUAAGUUCAUGAUAAUUAAGUUCAUCUAAUCAAAUUAUUUAAUGAACUCCCACUCAGAUUGACAUCCCUCUAGUCAUCUAAGUGUUACACGAUCCGAGUCGACUAGGCCGUGUCCGAUCAUCACGUGAGACGGACUAGUCAUCAUCGGUGAACAUCUCCAUGUUGAUCGUAUCUUCCAUACGACUCAUGUUCGACCUUUCGGUCUCUAUGUUCCGAGGCCAUGUCUGUACAUGCUAGGCUCUUCAAGUUAACCCUAAGUGUUUUGCAUGUGUAAAACUGUCUUACACCCGUUGUAUGUGAACGUAAGGAUCUAUCACACCCGAUCAUCACGUGGUGCUUCAAAACGACGAACUUUAGCAACGGCGCACAGUUAGGGGGAACACUUUCUUGAAAUUAUUAUAAGGGAUCAUCUUAUUUACUACCGUCGUUCUAAGUAAACAAGAUGCAUAAACAUAAUAAACAUCACAUGCAAUUAUAUAAUAGUGACAUGAUAUGGCCAAUAUCAUAUAGCUCCUUUGAUCUCCAUCUUCGGGGCUCCAUGAUCAUCUUCGUCACCGGCAUGACACCAUGAUCUCCAUCAUCAUGUCUCCAUGAAGUUGUCACGCCAACGACUACUUCUACUUCUAUGGCUAACGCGUUUAGCAAUAAAGUAAAGUAAUUUACAUGGCGUUCUUCAAUGACAAGUAGGUCAUACAAAAAUAAAGACAACUCCUAUGGCUCCUGCCGGUUGUCAUACUCAUCGACAUGCAAGUCGUGAUUCCUAUUACAAGAACAUGAUCUCAUACAUCACAAUAUAUCAUUCAUCAUUCAUCACAACUUCUGGCCAUAUCACAUCACAUGACAAUUGCUGCAAAAACAAGUUAGACGUCCUCUAAUUGUUGUUGCAUCUUUUACGUGGCUGCAAUUGGGUUCUAGCAAGAACUUUUUCUUACCUACGAAUAACCACAACGUGAUUUUGUCAACUUCUAUUUACCCUUCAUAAGGACCCUUUUCGUUGAAUCCGCUCCAACUAAAGUGGGAGAGACAGACACCCGCUAGCCACCUUAUGCAACUAGUGCAUGUCAGUCGGUGGAACCUGUCUCACGUAAGCGUACGUGUAAGGUCGGUCCGGGCCGCUUCAUCCCACAAUACCGCUGAAGCAAAAUAAGACUAGUAGCGGCAAGCAAGUUGACAAGAUCUACACCCACAACAAAUUUGUGUUCUACUCGUGCAAUAGAGAACUACGCAUAAACCUGGCUCUGAUACCACUGUUGGGGAACGUUGCAGAAAAUUAAAAAUUUUCCUACGGUUUCACCAAGAUCCAUCUAUGAGUUCAUCUAAGCAACGAGUGAUAGGAGAGGGAAGCAUCUACAUACCACUUGUAGAUCGCGUGCGGAAGCGUUCAAGCGAACGGGGAUGAUGGAGUCGUACUCGGCGUGAUCCAAAUCACCGAUGACCAAGUGCUGAACGGACAGCACCUCCGCGUUCAACACAUGUACGGAGCGGACGACGUAUCCUCCUUCUUGAUCCAGCAAGGGGGAAGGAUAGGUUGAGGAAGAAGGCUCCAGCAGCAGCACGACGGCGUGAUGAUGGUGGAGAGGCAGUACUCCGACAGGGCUUCGCCAAGCACUCAACGGAGGAGGAGAGGUGUUGGGGAGGGGAGGGGCUGCGCCUUGGAUCAGGUGUUCAGCCCUCCCCUCGCCCCUCUAUUUAUAGGGGAAGGGGAAGGGGGCCGGCCCCCUCUAGAUGAGAUAUAGAGGGGGGGGGCGGCCAGGGAGGGGGGCUUGCCCCCCAAGCAAGGGGGGCGCCCCCACUAGGGUUCCCCCCCCCAACCCUAGGCGCAUGGGCCCAAGGGGGGGCCAGCCCUCCAGGGGCUGGUUCCCUGACCCUUGGGGCCCAUGAGGCCCUCUGAGAGGGGUGGCCCCUCCCGGUGGACCCCCGGAACCCCUCCGGUGGCCCCGGUACAAUACCGAUAUGCCCCCGAAACUUUCCGGUGUCCGUAUGACAACUUCCCAUAUAUAAAUCUUCACCUCCGGACCAUUCCGGAACUCCUCGUGACGUCCGGGAUCUCAUCCGGGACUCCGAACAACAUUCGGUAAUCACAUACAAGUCUUCCUAAUAACCCUAGCGUCACCGAACCUUAAGUGUGUAGACCCUACGGGUUCGGGAGACAUGCAGACAUGACCGAGAUGGCUCUCUAGUCAAUAACCAAUAGCGGGAUCUGGAUACCCAUGUUGGAUCCCACAUGCUCCUCGAUGAUCUCAUCGGAUGAACCACGAUGUCGAGGAUUCAAUCAACCCCGUAUACAAUUCCCUUUGUCAAUCGGUACGUUACAUGCCCGAGACUCGAUCGUCGGUAUCCCAAUACCUUGUUCAGUCUCAUUACCGGCAAGUCACUUUACACGUACCGUAGUGCAUGAUCCCGUGACCAAACACUUGGUCACUUUGAGCUCAUUAUGGUGAUGCAUUACCGAGUGGGCCCAGAGAUACCUCUCCGUCAUACAGAGUGACAAAUCCCAGUCUCGAUCCGUGUCAACCCAACAGACACUUUCGGAGAUACCUGUAGUGCACCUUUAUAGUCACCCAGUUACAUUGUGACGUUUGGUACACCCAAAGCACUCCUACGGUAUCCGGGAGUUACACGAUCUCAUGGUCUAAGGAAGAGAUACUUGACAUUGGAAAAGCUCUAGCAAAACAAACUACACGAUCUUGUGCUAUGCUUAGGAUUGGGUCUUGUCCAUCACAUCAUUCUCCUAAUGAUGUGAUCCCGUUGUCAACGACAUCUAAUGUCCAUAGUCAGGAAACCAUGACUAUCUGUUGACCAACGAGCUAGUCAACUAGAGGCUUACUAGGGACGUAUUUGGUCUAAGUAUUCACACGUGUAUUACGAUUUCCGGAUAAUACAAUUAUAGCAUGAAUAAAAGACAAUUAUCAUGAACAAGGAAAUAUAAUAAUAAUCCUUUUAUUAUUGCCUCUAGGGCAUAUUUCCAACAAUUUUCCCUUCUUACCAGAGAUAUAUACUCUAGUCCCCUCGUGUGAUUCGACCUAGAUAAGUAUGACCUUGCAAUGAGGAUUAUGAGAUAAUCCAGUUUUCUGGCCGGCAUCACUGGAACGAGAAAGAGGCCGGGUUGGCACAAGAGUGACCUACUCGCCUUGAGACUGGCAACAUAUAUCAUGAGGCAAAAAGAACGGAAGCAAUAUGUGAUGGAAAUAUGCCCUAGAGGCAAUAAUAAAAUAGUUAUUAUUAUAUUUCCUUAAUCAUGAUAAAGGUUUAUUAUUCAUGCUAGAAUUGUAUUGAUCGAAAACUUAAAUACAUGUAUGGAUACAUAAACAAAUACGAUGUCUCUAGUAAGCCUCUACUAGACUAGCUCGUUGAUCAAAGAUGGUUAAGGUUUCCUAACCAUGGACAUGUGUUGUCACUUGAUAACGGGAUCACAUCAUUAGGAGAAUGAUGUGAUGGACUAGACCCAUCCGUUAGCUUAGCAUAUGAUCGUUAGUUUUAUUGUUAUUGCUUUCUUAAUGUCAAAUACAUAUUCCUUCGACUAUGAGAUCAUGCAACUCACGAAUAUCGGAGGAAUACCUUGUGUGCUAUCAAACGUCACAACCUAACUGGGUGAUCAUAAAGAUGCUCUACAGGUAUCUCCAAAGGUGUCUGUUGAGUUGGCAUGGAUCGAGAUUAGAAUUUGUCACUCCGUGUAUCAGAGAGGUAUCUCUGGGCCAUCUCGGUAAUACGCAUCACAAGAAGCUUGCAAGGAAAGUGACUAAGGAGUUAGUUACGAGAUCAUGUAUUACGGAAUGAGUAAAGGUACUUGCCGGUAACGAGAUUGAACUAGGUAUGGAGAUGCUGACGAUCGAAUUUCGGGCAAGUAACAUACCGGCAGACAAAGGGAAUUACAUAUGUUGUCAUUAGGUUCGACCGAUAAAGAUCUUCGUAGAAUAUGUAGGAACCAAUAUGGGCAUCCAGGUUCCGCCAUUGGUUAUUGACUGGAGAGGCGUCUCAGUCAUGUCUACAUCAUUCUCGAAUCCGUAGGGUCCGCACGCUUAACAUUCGUUGAUGAUAUAGUAUUAUAUGAGUUAUGUGAUUUGGUGACCUAAUAUUGUUUAGAGUCCCGGAUGAGAUCACGGACAUGACGAGGAGCUCCGAAAUGGUGCGAAGGUAGGACAAUGCUAUUUGUACACUGGAAAGGUUUCGGGGUGUAUCGGUUAGUCAUCGGAUCAGCGGAAGGGAUUCCGGGAAGCCCCAGGAGGUUAAUGGGCCUUAUGGGCCAAGAGAGGGGAACACACCAGCCCACAAGGGGCUGGAGCGCCCCUCCUCUUGGCUGCCGGCCCUAUGGAUGGAAAGGGGGGAGGGCUAGCCCGAUGAUCGGCAAGCCAUAGAUAAUAAAUGGAUCUUCAAGAAAAAGAUGGACGCUGAUGGUAAUGUCGCUAUCUACAAAGCUCGACUUGUCGCAAAAGAUUUUCGACAAGUUUAAGGGGUUGACUAUGAUGAGACUUUCUCACCCGUAGUGAUGCUUAAGUCUGUUCGAAUCAUGUUAGCAAUUGUCGCAUUUUAUAAAUAUAAAAUCUAGCAUAUGGACGUCAAAACUGCAUUCCUGAAUCGAUUUUUUAAAGAAUUGCUGUAUAUGAUGCAACCAGAAGGUUUUGUCGAUCCUAAAGGUGCUAACAAAGUGUGCAAGCUCCAACAAUCCAUCUAUGGACUGGUGCAAGCAUCUCAGAGUUGGAAUAUAUGCUUUGAUGAGGUGAUCAAAGCAUAUGGUUUUAUACAGACUUACGGUGAAGCCUGUAUUUACAAGAAAGUGAGUGGAGCUCUAUAGCAUUUCUGAUAUCAUAUGUGGAUGACAUAUUGUUGAUUGGAAAUGAUAUAGAAAUUCUGGAUAGCAUAAAAGGAUACUUGGAUAAGAGUUUUUUUUAAUGAAAGACCUCGGUGAAGCUGCUUACAUAUUGAGCAUCAAGAUCUAUAGGGAUAGAUCGAGACGCUUAAUAGGACUUUCAUAAAGCACAUACCUUGGCAAAGUUUUUGAAGAAGUUCAAAAUGGUCCAGUCAAAGAAGGGGUUUCUUGCCUGUGUUGCAAGGUGUGAAUUUGAGUAAGACUCAAAACCCGGCCACGGCAGAAAAUAGAGAGAGAGAAUGAAAGUCACUCCCUAUGCCUCAGCCAUACGUUCUAUAAAGUAUGCCAUGCCAUGUACCAGACCUGUUGUGUGCCUUGCCACUAGUUUGGCACUAGGGUACAAUAGUGAUCCAGGAGUGGAUCCCUGGACAACGGUCAAAAUUAUCCUUAGUUACCUAAGAGGACUAAGGAAAUGUUUCUCGGUUAUGAAGGUGAUAAAAGGGUUCAUCGUAAAUGGUUACGUCGAUGCAAGCUUUGACACCGGAACGGAUGACUCUGAGUCUCAAUCUGGAUAUGUAUUGAAAGUGGGAGCAAUUAGUUAGAGUAGCUCCAUGCAAAGCAUUGUAGACAUAGAAAAUUGCAAAAUACAUACGGAUCUGAAUAAGGCAGGCCCAUUGUCUAAACAUCUCUCACAAGCAAAACAUGAUCACACCUUGGUAAACUCUUUCGCUUUGUUUGGAUGUUGAUAUUCUGGGCCAUGGCAUUGAAUUGGCCCCAAUAUCAAAUCUCCUUGACUUUGAUAUUGACAUUGAGCAUGAAUUCUGCUGUUUGGAUGUGCACAGAAUUGCCGCUUGGAAUUGGCUGAGAGGCUCAAUUCUGAAGCUUGUUUGGAUGGUCUUUCUCUACAUUGGAAUUGCCCAUUUGUCAAAUGAUGAAAAUUGAACUUUGAUGUAAUGUUUGAAACUACAUUGUAUUCAAUAUGUACAUAUACAGCAGGACUACAAUGUAAUAUAUUUUUUGAAUGAUUAUAUAUGAAGAAUACAAUGGCAGCAGCACAUAUUCUAUAGCAGCAACACUUAUUCCAUAGCAGCAGCACAUAUUAGCAGCACUUAUAAAUCAGCAGCACUUGCACAUCAGCACUUAUACAGCAGCAGCACAUAUACAGCAGCACUUAUACAUCAGCAGCACUUGCACAGCAGCAGCACAUAUACAGCAGCACAUGUACAGCAGCACUUGUACAACAGCAGCAGCACUUUUCAUCAGCAACAAUUAUAACAGCAGCACUUAUAAAUCGGCACUUAGCCAACAACAACAUAUAACAUAGAAAAUUCAAGUACGAUCAAAUGAAGCACACAAUACAUAUAUUUUCCAUCAUUACAUGACAUAGGAAAUUCAAGUACAACAAGUUCAUACCUAUUACAUGAAACAAAGAAACGACAUAAGCACUUGAAACUAAUCAAACAUUGUUCUUCUCGUUGAGCAUCAAUAGCCACUCCUUCCUAAACUCCAUGGGUAACUCCAUAAGCGCUUGGAAUAAACGUUCACUAAGGAUGAGUUUACCAUAUGCUCGUAACAUGUCUGAACGAGCCAAAUCUGGGAUCUUUUCAUGGGCAGCAAGGAUUUCAAGAGGAGGAGUAACCUUGGGCAGUUCUAGUGGCUCAAAUGAUUUCAUAACAUCUUGAAAAGAACCCUUCAUUUCUCCAAGCAUGCACAAGAUAGCAUCACCUGUUCGCUGCCUUUUUGGUGGCAAUUCUGGAGAGGCUUCAACGACUACUUCAUCUAGUUCUAUUGGUUGCGCCGCACUUUCAGCACCUGUCAUUGCACCAUCACCGGUUGCAUGAUCUUUGGAGUAUAUUGUUAAUAUUGCCUCCCAAUUCUUCACUUCUUUGUUCUUGUAACCAGCUGCCUUCGGAUUAGCCUGCACACACAUACAAAGUAAAUCACUUGCAUGCAUAUAUGAUAGAAUAAAUUAACUAAACAUCAUUUUUUACCUGGACAUAUUUGUUCCAAACAUCAUCACUAUCCAUGAGUAGCUUGUUAUUGACCGAAUCCCAACCAAACCCGCUCUGAGAAAGAAUCUUGCUAAUUGUACCACAAUGCUUGUCAAAAGUUUUCAUCCUUGAACAUAUUUUCUCCUUUGUGACAUGUAGUCCGCACUUAUCAUGUAUUGCCUUUAUAGCAGCAUUGUAUACAUGUGGCUUCCAUCCAUUUUGGCCCUGAUCACCUCUGUUGUGAUGUUCAACAAAAACAUCCAACAAUACCUUAUCCAUCUCAUCUGUCCAUGUCAAGUAAUCUCUACUAAACUUCUUCUUUGUUUCUUCAACCAUGGUGCUUUUGAAUAACAAUUGACAAACAAAAGGAAACAUAUAUUAAUUGCUUUCUCGUGGUGAUGAUGUACAAAAUAUCCAAACGUCACCAUACGAUAGCUAUGCACAAAAGAGAACAUCCAGCUACCACAAAAGCAAAAGAUAUCAUCUUGCUAAUCCAACAUCUAGCUACCACAAAAGCAAAAUACAUCAUCUUGCUAAAUCACAUGUCAUACUACUGCUAUAAAUUUGCAUGCGCCACAACAUAUUCAGCAAACAUGUCAUUAGAUAAUUGGUUCCUGAAGUUGGUCCAUGCAUUAGUGACUUGAACACUUCUUAUUGAGUUAGCAUCAUCAACCUCAAUUGGCUGGGAAGCUAUUUCAUUAUCCACUUCAUGCAGCAAUAAGUCAUCCAUCAUAUGUUGCCUAUCCCUUGCAAAGUUGUGUAACACACAACAAGCAUUAAUGAUUCGAAUCUGCAACAAUGUUCUCUUUACGUAAGAAUUUUUCAGUAUGUUAUGCAUCUUAUUGAAAACCCAAUGGACACAUGUUACCAGGUCCUUUAUGUCAAAGAAACUUUGAGUGCGAAGAAUACCCCACUUCUUCUUCCACAACCCAUAAGUUCUCUCUACUACAUUUCUAGCACGAGAGUGGCGCAAGUUAUAUAGCUCUUUGGCAUUUUGGGGUUGUUGCUGACUUGAUGCCCACUCUUUCAAGUGAUACCGAGUGGAUCUGAAUGGAGCUAGAAAUCCAGGUCCAUUUGUGUAACCAGCAUCAGCUAAGUAAUAUCUUCCUAUUGUUAAACAAGUGAGUUAGGUUGGUUGUAGCAUACGAAAUUAAAGAGAACAAAAAGCCAAGAGAAAAAGCCAUACCAUGAGGUACAACAAAUGCAUCUUGGCGAUCAGUUCUCAUGGAGUCGCGUAGGACUCUAGAGUCCGAAGCGGAACCCUCCCAGCCAGGUAAGACAUACAGAAAUUUCAUGUUCCAGUCCACCACACCAAGCAUGUUAGUACUGACGUCUUGUUUUCUAUUCCUGUACCUCCCUUGGGCAGCCACAGGAACGGAAACAUCUACAUGACAGCCAUCUAAUGCUCCUAGUGCAUCACCAAACCACUUCCAUUUGUAGUCAUCGGGAGGUUGAACAUUAGCAUCUGGAAGCUUAAUGAACUCCCCAUGCAUAGAUAGAAUGGCUCUUAACACUGCGGAAAAGUGAGUACUUAUAGUUCCCAAAGACCGCUUGUAUGUGCCUCGAAGCAACCUCAUUUUCAGACCGUGACCCACUACUAGCAAGAACAUGGCAACCUUUUCUUCCACAGCCACAUACACACUAUCAUGCAGACCACACCUCUCAUGCAACAUGGUACAUAAAUCAUGAAAAUUUCUUUUCGUUAAACGUAGCUGAUCAUAGCAUGCCACUUCUGAGCCAUCAUACAUAUCCUUCAACAAAUACUUCCUAAGUGUGUGUUUGUGCUCAUCAUCACUAAAACUACCUAAUCCACGAGGUGCUCUUUGUGAAAUAAGGUAUGCCAUUCCGACAAGAACAGAUUCAAAGUAAACUUCUGUCAAUAUUAUCCUUUUCCUCUUUCUCCUUUUGUUCUCUUCAGUUAUGUAUGAAAUCAUGUCUACUUGAUCUGGCAUUAUGAAACUACACAAUAAUUAUAUAAUUAGACAACAAUCGUUUGUACAGAUUAUGAAUCAACAAAUUGCAUAUUCAAGCAAGCAUCAAAAGGAUAAAAAGGGGAACUUUUACAACUAUCAAACCAUCACAUGUUAAACAGAACUUUUACAACUAUCAAACCAUUACCUUGGAUCUGCCUGCUGCUGCUGCUCGAGGUCCAUCCUCGAAUCGAUCUUCAGACCAAUCAAUUGACCUGUUGUUUGAAAGGAAAAAUACAUCAGCAAACAAACAUAUACUGUUGGGAUUAGAAGGGGAUUGGGUUUCUGUCUAGGGUUAGGGUUGAGGAUGGAGGAAGAAUGGGCCAUGGGGAUGAAGAAAGAACUGCCCAUGAGGGUGGGGAAGCCUGCCGCGACAACCACCAUGAGAGGGAGCGCCGUGCGCCGUGCUGCUCGGGAAGACGGCGGCCAGGGGUGGCGAGCGCAAAGGAGAAGGGUGCGGUCUGGAAGGGAAGGAGAGGGACGUGCCCACACGCGAGGGAGGAAGGGAUCCGCCGAAGAGAGAGGGUGCGAAGGAGAUGGUGGAUGGGAUCUGACCUGCGCUACCGGGAGCUCCGCGUCGGGGCAGUGCGCGCCGCUUCUCCCCGCCUCUUCUCCCGCUCGAGCCUGCCUCUUCUGUUUCUGGAGAGGUCGAAGCGGUAUGGUUGCGGGCUGGUUCCCGAAUAUCAGCCAAAAUCGAGCUCCCCCCCCUCUGAAUUCGGGAACAGGUACGCGGGCUUUUAGAGCGGGGCAACGAAUAUUUCAGCCCAAUUCGGUGGGCUGAUUCCUUGUACAUCUAAACAGCGGAAUUCGGGCUAGCCAAUGCCAAUAUCAAUAUCUAAGUCUGAAUAUCAACAUCCAAACGAAGUGUUUGGGUGAUUGAGUCACAUGGCGAUGUGAACUAUGAGUGUUAAUCACAUGGUGAUGUGAACUAGAUUAUUGACACUAGUGCAAGUGGGAGACUGAUGGAAAUAUGCCCUAGAGGCAAUAAUACAAUAGUUAUAAUUAUAUUUCCUUAAUCAUGAUAAAGGUUUAUUAUUCAUGCUAUAAUUGUAUUGAUUGGAAACUUAAAUACAUGUGUGGAUACAUAAACAAAAACUGUGUCCCUAGUAAGGCUCAACUAGACUAGCUCGUUGAUCAAAGAUAGUUCAGGUUUCCUAACCAUGGACAUGUGUUGUCACUUGAUAACGGGAUCACAUCAUUAGGAGAAUGAUGUGAUGGACAAGACCCAUCCAUUAGCUUAGCAUAUGAUUGUUCAGUUUAUUGCUAUUUCUUUCUUAAUGUUAAAUACAUAUUCCUUCGACUAUGAGAUCAUGCAACUCCCAGAUACCAAAGGUAUAGCUUUUGUGCUAUCAAAUGUCACAACAUAACUGGGUGAUCAUAAAGAUGCUCUACAGGUAUCUCCGAAGGUGUCCGUUGAGUUGGCAUGGAUCGAGAUUAGGUUUGUCACUCCGUGUAUCAGAGAGGUAUCUCUGGGCCAUCUCGAUAAUACACAUCACAAGAAGUUUGCAAGCAAAGUGACUAAGGAGUUAGUUAUGAGAUGAUGUAUUACAAAAUGAGUAAAGAGACUUGCCGGUAACGAGAUUGAACUAGGUAUGAAGAUACCGACGAUCGAAUCUCGGGCAAGUAACAUACCCACAGACAAAGGGAAUUAUGUAUGUUGAGAUAAGGUUCGACCGAUAAAGAUCUUUGUAGAAUAUGUAGGAACCAAUAUGGGCAUCCAGAUUCCUUAUUGGUUAUUUAUCGAAGAGGCGUCUCGGUCAUGUUUACAUCAUUCUCGAACCCAUAGGGUCCGCACGCUUAAUGUUCGUUGACGAUAUAAUAUUAUAUGAGUUAUGUGAUUUGGUGACCGAAUAUUGUUCGGAGUCUCGGAUGAUAUCACGGACAUGAUGAGGAGCUACGAAUGGUCCAAAGGUAAAGAUUGAUGUAUAGGACGAUGCUAUUUGGACACCAAAAAGGUUUCGAAGUGUAUCGGGUAGUCAUCGGAUCACCGAAAAUGCCCCGAUAGGUUAAUGGGCCUUAUGGGCCAAGAGAGGGGAACACACCACCCCACAAGGGGCUGGCGCGCCCCUCCUCUUGGCCGCAGGCCCUAUGGAUGGAAAGGGGGAGGGCUGGCCCCUCUUUCCUUCCCUCCACCUAAGAGGAAGGAAAAGGGGUGGGGGCGCCACCCCCUCCUGCCUUCCCCCCUCAGGCAAACAAGGAAGGGGGGGGGGGCAAAGGGCAGGCGCCCAAGGGGACCGGCCGGCCACCUUGGGGUGCACUCAAGGCUGCCUCCCCCACAUAUAUAUAUGAGAGGGAGGGGUGCCACACAACCGAUGACAAUCUCUUAGCCGUGUGCGGCGCCCCUCUCCACAGUUUAGUCAUUUGUCUAGUUUCCCACUAUGCACGGCGAAGCCAUGCGGGAACGAGUUCACCAUUACCGUCACCACACCGUCGUGCUGCCGGAACUCAUCUACCACUUCGCCCGUCUUGCUGGAUCAACAAGGCGAAGAUGUCAUCGAGUUGAACGUGUGCUGAACGCGGAGGUGCCGUACGUUCGGUACUUGAUCGACUGGAUCGCGAAGGUGUUCGACUACAUCAACCGCGUUAAUAAACGCUUCCGCUUUAUGGCCCACGAGGGUACGUAGACAUACUCUCCCCUCUCGUAGCUAUGCAUCUCCAUGGACAGAUCUUGCGUGUGCAUAGAAUUUUUUUUCCAUGCAAUGUUCCCCAAUAAUAUGUGCUUUACAAGUUUGUCGAGUCGGCUUCAUCAGACACUUGGAGUCAGCACGCUUUACUAGAAGCCAUCACUGACUGGCCGAGCCGGAUGCAAUCCGACCCGCGACCAAGUGGACGAGAAACUAAGGGGUCGCACGCUUAAGUGAAAGGUACCUGUGAGGUUGGAUCUGACUUCGCUUGCCGGAUGAGAUCCGACCAGGACUUGGAUACGAGCCGAGCAGACUUUGGGGUUUUCGAUCCAUGCGGGGCCCAUGUGAUGAGCCUGCGGUGGAUGCCUAUAUAUGGUAGAGGUGCGGCAGACCUUUUCGAUUGAUCGCUUCAACGUCGUCAUUAUGCUUUGCAUGUGUUACAACUAGUCACCUCUACUCGGAACCCCGACUAAGUGAUCGGACCUAGCAGUCUGCCACACGGUGUUCCUCUUGCACCAGUGGAUACCAAUAGAGGCAGUGUGCUCGUGAUGCUCCAGCAAGCCUGUUCGAGGGAUCCGGCGUUCGGCUGCUCGAGGGAGAUCGACGAGGAGAAGGAGACGACCCUGGUGACGCGCUGCUCCGACUCUUCUUCCGCUGCGAGGGACUGCACGUCUCUAAUCUCGUAAUCCAUCUCCUAAGCCCAAGAGGACAUAGGUGGUUGAAUGAGUGAGUUUAUUUGGAUUCAUCAAACUUGUACGUUUAUGAGUAUAGUCAAAUACUCCCUCUCUCUCAGUUUACAAAGCGUGCGCGUAUCCCUAGGUCGUCAAUUUAACCAACCUAAUGCAAGUAAUAUAUUACAAAAAAUAUACCAAUAUAAACUUUAGAUGUUCUAUUUUCAGAAGACAUGAUUUUUGUGUUAUAUAGUUUAUAUUAGGGUGAUCAAAUUGGCAACCUAGGUAUACGCGUAGGACUUGUAAACUAAGACGGAGGGAGUAGUACAUUAGUUGCUAAAUAAUAAAAUACGAAGUUAGCAACAACAAGCUAAGCACAUAUGCAUUAAAGACUUUAGUUGCUAAACUCUUUAAUGCACUUCAAACUCCGGUCCAAGCACAUGUUCAUAGAGGCCUCGAUGUGACAACUAGUGCUAUUUCCAAUAUUGAUUACCAUGAUAUGAUUAAUAUUUUUUCUAAACAAUUAUAAAUAAUGUAGUCAAUGCGAUUUCAAGAUUAACUACCAUUAAUGUAAUUAAUGUAAUUAAAAAUACUAUCUAGGGUGCAAUCUUAAUCAACGGUGCAUUAUCCGUCUUUUUUCAUAUCGGUACUAAUCCGGAUUGUGGAUGAACAUCUCAACAAAAUCAGGAUUGAAUACAAAAUUAAAGAUCACGUGCACGUUUCUUUGUACUACAUAUUAAAUCUACAUGCAAGACGUGUUUAAAUAGAAAACAUGUGAAAUCUUGAACUUGCGCUUUUGUAGGCAAAUACCAUGUUUGCUUGGGUUGUAGCUACAAAUACUCGGAUUAUAGACCAUUUUCCGUAAAUUAAAAGCGUGUGGUAUUCUUUUCUCCCGUUGCAACAAACGGACUCUUUUGCUAGUAUGACUUAAAAUACGAGGGGCACAAACAAACCAGGAUUGAGGUACUACAGUAUACUCAUGUGAAAAAGUGGACAAAAUGACACAUCUGUGUUUGCUCUAAUUUAACAUGAAUGUGACAGUUCUGCCCACUGGCACAUAGCGUAUCAUUUUCGGAAAGCCAACCAAAUGCACGUCAUUUUAAUGAAAUUUCUCGUUACAUUUCUGGCUAGAGAAAAGUUUAAUGACCCCGUACGUCGCCGGGGUUGCCCGGCUGGUCACCAGCCAGCUCCACCAUCAUGUAAAACGGGAGGCUGAUCGAAGCGGCGUGCGAAAAUCACCGCGGCGAAUUAAAGUAUUCCGCCGCCACCGGCCCCAAAUACAAAGCGCCCUCGGCCCGUCCCCUUUUAUAGCCCCCCCGUCUCCUCCACCUCCCUCUCGUCCCCGUUCCAUCCCACCUCCCCCAGCCUCCUCCACGCUCCCUCGCGCGCAGGGGCUCCGGGCCGAGGACGCAAGCGCGCAACCAACUCAACUCACCCACCCCGACCGCGCGUUGGAGCUCCCCGCGGAAUUCGCAGCCAUGCUGUCCGCGCGCACCGCCGCCGCGUCCCCCGCCGCCUCCCUGGUACGGACGCCACGGCCGUCUCCACGCGCUCUCGCUCGCUCGUCCCGCUCUCGCUCCGGCGUCUCGCGCCUCGCCGCUCGCUUCGACUCGCAUGAUUGCGCUGUGUUUACGGUGCUCUGGAUGUUUGUGCGAGGAAGUAAGCUUCGUGUGUUUGUGUUUUGUCUGACGCUGCAGUGGAAGCGCGGAGAUGGCGCGGGGGGCCGCGGCGACGGAUGCACGAGCUGUUUGGAGGUGCGGAGGAGGGCCGCGGCCGUGACGGUCCGCGCGGCGCAGCCCAAGAGGGUCGAGGCGGUGGCGAUGGAGUCGGCCGCCGAGACCGCGGAGGCCGAGAAGGAGGUGGCCGCCGAGAAGGAGGUGGCGGCGGCGGGCGGCGGCGUGGAGGACAAGUACGGCGAGGACAGGGCCACGGAGGAGCUGCCCGUCACGCCAUGGGCCUUCUCCGUCGCGAGGUGAGCGGCGCGGAUCGGAUCGGAUCGCUGGAUCUGGGUGAGGCGGACGUUUCGAUGGGUCGAUCUGGGCGGGGAUCGAUCCAUUUGGGUUAGCUAUACGGUUUCCUCCGCGUGCUGCUUCGCCUAAGCUAUACUAAUGUUUUACUAGUUCAUUUCAGAACUUUGACGUGCCUAGGAGUCAGUAUGCGUGUCUCGUUUGCUUGCAUCACCCGAAACAAAUCUGAACUGCGUAGUAGAUUUCCGUGUGUGGGGCGCUCGGCAGCGGAAAGUAACUGUCCCUUUCUCCUGCUGGUGCAGCCCACUUCAGCUGACUUUUGUUGUUUCCUCGCACCCACUAUGGGUCACCCGGUAUUGUUGGAGUCGUCCAGCUGGUCGCGUUAAAAUUUCAAGUAAUAUUACUUUUACAAUUCCAGUUUCACUCUAGUGAGAGAAAAUUGUUAUAAUUUAAAGCGGAUCUGGGUUACCGCUGGGCGGAUUUCGGGUAGGUUGUUAGUAGUUGAGCAAAACAACGAAUUGGCUGUUUUGUUUUGAUUUUGGUUUCUUCUAUUUUUUGCUUUCUUGUGGGUGGAGUAUAUUCUAAUCUGGCAAAGAAGAUAAUCUGGCCCACAACAAUAUUUGUGUCUUGUUUUCUCCACUGCCCCUGACAGCGAAAUUUGGCUGCAAAUUGAUACUGAAUCGACAGCCGUAUGGUAAACUUUACUCCGUAGCAUAUAAUUUUGUUAUAGUUAACUAACUGAAUCGACAGCCGUAUGGUAAACUUUACUCCGUAGCAUAUAAUUUUGUUAUAGUUAACUAAAAGCAAUCAGCGAACGGUAAUUUCAGCAAGGAAAGUCAAAAGUACCCAAUUGACCACGGUGAUUUUAGAAAAACCUUCUGUAAUUUUUUUAUUUGGUUUGGAAGAUUGUUUCAUGUCAAUGGACAAUCCUGCAGUGGGCCAAAUAAGUUUUGGUCAUUAUGUUAACACGAAUGCUAAUAGACCUUUUGUGCCACAGUGGUUACACCCUUCUGAGAGAUCCGCAUCACAACAAGGGACUGGCCUUUACCGAGAGGGAGCGGGAUGCGCACUACUUGCGUGGCCUUCUUCCUCCAGGAGUUGUCUCCCAGGAUCUCCAAGUAUGUGGAACCAUCACUAGCCAAUAUAAGCUGUAAAUCAUUUUGGUCUUCUUUUUCCUAAGGUUUUCUUAAUGUGUAUGCAGGUGAAGAAGAUCAUGCACAACCUUCGCCAGUACAAGGUCCCGUUGCAGCGCUAUGUGGCCAUGAUGGACCUUCAGGUAGCACAAUUAGUCAUGUUGAUUCUAUGAACUAUAGAUUCGUUCUUGUAAGAAGAUUAGCUAUGUAAUGCAGCGAAUUCCUUUUUGAAGAUCUGAUAAAACCCACACUGCACCAAUGUAGUCAAUUUGUUGCAGUUAAAAUGAUUUAUUGAUUGCAAAAUUUUGCACAAUGUUGUGUGAUUUCAGGAGAGAAAUGAGAGGCUUUUCUACAAGCUUCUAAUUGAUAACGUGGAGGAGCUGCUCCCUGUGGUUUAUACACCAACUGUAGGUGAAGCCUGCCAGAAGUAUGGGAGCAUAUUUAGGCGCCCACAGGGUCUGUAUGUCAGCUUGAGAGACAAGUAUGUUUGCCCAGCUUUUUUUUAUCAAACUUGCAAGAAUUAUGUACUGUGUUUUUUAUUGGGACUGAUUGGAGGUGUAUUGUAGGGGGAAGGUCAUUGACGUGCUAAGGAACUGGCCUGAGAGGAACAUUCAAGUUAUUGUAGUCACUGAUGGUGAGCGCAUUUUGGGGCUUGGAGAUUUGGGUUGUCAGGUAUGCUUGUCUAAUUAGCUUCUUACUUCAGAAACUGUGCUUAUAUAUUUUUGAAAUGAUAUCCUAUAGGGAAUGGGAAUUCCUGUCGGCAAACUUUCUCUGUACACUGCCCUUGGAGGAGUUCGCCCGUCAGCUGUAAGUAUUUACAUAUGUUUUGGUCUUCUUUAGUUAUUGUUUUAGUCUUCUUUAGUUAUCCCAGUAUAUUUGCUAUCAACAAGCUGCAAAAACAAUAAAAUAACUUCAAUCUUUUUAAUGUUCACUUUGCAGUGCUUGCCUAUUACAAUUGAUGUUGGUACUAACAAUGAGCAAUUGCUCAAUGACGAGUUCUACAUCGGGCUUCGGCAAAGACGUGCUACUGGAGAGGUAUGCACAUGUGCAAAUUUUGCUUGAAGAACCAAGACGUUAUCAAAAUAACCAGCACUUAAAAUCUGAUCUGUGCAUUGUCCUUGAUGGCAGGAGUAUCAUGAACUCAUGGAAGAGUUCAUGGAUGCUGUUAAACAAAUAUAUGGUGAAAAAGUUCUCAUCCAGGUCAGUUCAGACACCUAGUAAAUUGCAUGUUAUAUGGUGAUCAUUUUGACUUUUUAUCACAAUAAUACUGAAUUUCCUUUGCACCAGUUUGAAGACUUUGCCAAUCACAAUGCAUUUGAUUUGCUUGCGAAAUAUAGCAAGAGUCAUCUUGUUUUCAAUGAUGAUAUCCAGGUUGGUGAACUACUUGUUUCAGUUUUAUCACGUGCUACCGUUCUGUUCUUCAGUAUCUCUAAUUCGCUAUAUAUUUCAGUUUGUUGCCUUCUCUGCUGAUAUAAAAUGUGUUGAUUGCAGGGAACAGCAUCUGUGGUCCUUGCAGGUCUGUUAUCUUCACUGAAGGUUGUCGGUGGAACCCUAGCAGAGCACACCUAUUUGUUCCUUGGUGCUGGCGAGGUUAGUCAAAACUCCUCGCGGUGUAAUUUUUGCUGAACUGUUAAAUUAUAAUGCAUUAUCUGGAACACAUCUGACGGUGCAUUCUACUGCAGGCUGGAACUGGUAUUGCAGAACUCAUUGCUCUUGAGAUUUCAAAACAGGUAACUGGCUCAGGCUUUCAAAAUGUCAGUGUGGCAUAUAUAGUUUUAAUAUCAAUGCUACAGCUAAGUCAUGCUGGUUUUGAUUAAUUUAUAGACAAAUGCUCCAAUUGAAGAGUGCCGCAAGAAGGUUUUUCUGGUGGAUUCGAAGGUAUGGAGAGUUAUUAGUACGAUAUUGAUUUUGAACACAGACUGACACAAUUUUAUUCUAUUAUAUAUGCAGGGUUUGAUCGUUAGUUCCAGAAAAAACUCCCUUCAGCCAUUCAAGACAUCUUGGGCACAUGAGCGCGAACCUGUGACAACCUUGUUAGAUGCCAUCAAGGUAGUCAUUCUUUAUGUGCAUUUAAGAAUUCAAUUCAAUUAGUACUGAUGCUUUCACUGGAAAUUGUUCUGUUAAGGUUAUAUUAUUAUUUUAUUGUAUCUCCUAAAGUUCUUUUAUUAUCUCUGUAGUCCAUCAGACCUACGGUGCUGAUCGGAACAUCUGGAGUUGGGAGGGCUUUCACUAAGGAAGUUAUUGAAGCUAUGGCUUCUUUCAACGAGGUAAUUUGAAUUUUGAACAUUGUUGUUGUUCACGUUGUAACUUUCUGGGAUCAGUGAGACAGUUGAAUAACUUCUGAUCUAAAAUUGUAAAUGCAGAGACCUGUCAUCUUCUCAUUGUCAAAUCCAACAUCGCAUUCUGAAUGUACUGCUGAAGAAGCAUACAAAUGGACCAAGGUUAGUUUGCCAACAUACACAGAGAGCUGGCUGCAAAUUCGUUGAAGUCAAAACAUUUGAUGUUACUCAUUUAGUUAUUGUGCUAUCCAUGAAAUGCAACAAAGCUUAAUGAAAGACACUUCAUGUUUGCUUUCUUCUUAUACUUGUAUAUCUUCAUAGCUAGUGCAUCAUAAUUGGCACAAAAAGGGUUCACUAAAACAUGCAAAUGCAUCUGCGUAUUUGCAGGGUCGUGCAGUGUUUGCCAGCGGAAGUCCGUUUGACCCUGUGGAGUAUGAUGGAAAGAUUCAUGUGCCUGGCCAGGUAUUUUUCUUUUAAUCUUUUCCAAUGGGGGGGCAAUCUUGCUGAUAUGAAGUCCUGCUCAGUCAAAAUAAAAGUUCUUCAUACCUGAUUGUCUGGGCUAUCACAACAGGCAAACAAUGCUUACAUUUUCCCUGGAUUUGGCCUUGGUGUUGUGAUUUCUGGAGCAAUCCGCGUGCAUGAGGACAUGCUUCUUGCUGCCUGUAAGUGCCUCUGACGAACAUGUUAUCCAUGAUUGCCUGCCAGUAUGCCAAGCAUUUCCUCAAAAAUAUUAACCAUAUUAUGGGAAGCUUAUCAAUGUUUCAUGUGUUCAAACAGCGGAAACACUAGCUGCACAGGCCACAAAGGAGAAUUUCGACAAGGGAUCCAUCUUUCCACCCUUCACCAACAUCAGAAAGAUAUCUGCCCUCAUCGCUGCUAGCGUGGCUGCAAAAGCCUACGAACUCGGUAUGUUCUCCGACACCCUUGCCCCCCUUCAGGCCUCAUGGAAUACCUGUGCUUGACAUUGCUCAAACUUUUUUCUGCAGGCUUGGCGACUCGCCUGCCGCGGCCGAGAGAUCUGGAGAAAUAUGCGGAGAGCUGCAUGUACACCCCUGUCUACCGCAGCUAUCGUUAAUGCAGUGGAGAUCAAUUUUGCAGUAAUAAAACGCAAGGUCGCAGGAUGCUGCGACGCUGUUGUUGUCUGUCGCUGUUCUUGCUGCUGCUGGAACUCGUAUCUGUCUAUACAUAUAUGCCGUGUCUGUUGUAACGCUGUGGAAGAAGUUAAGCAAACUGUCUUGUGUACCAACGUUUGUUAUUCGUGUAGGUUGAGUGUAACGAGUGUAAUAAGCACACAGAGUUCUAGUUCUCAAGGUAAUAUGGCUAGUGCUCCUCGCCUUUUAUCUCAACUGGGAUCCUUGACCAUAUAUGAAAAUAAAUGCAAAUUAGCUAAUGGAGGGUGCAAAAGUUUCAAUCGAAU
rnacentral:lncRNA from 1 species